rnacentral:lncRNA from 1 species
NNNNNNNNNNNNNNNNNNNNNNNNNNNNNNNNNNACUGGUCAGUGACCCAGAGCUUAAUCCCGCGUUGACCCGCACUAAUGGGAGUUUGACCCAUGCGUGGGGCCCUAUGUCAGCGUCUCUGGGAAGGGGGGGUUAGUGGUGGCUAAUGCCUGGCCACGUCAGGGCUACCGGGGCCUGGCCGGCAGCGAACACGGGCGCGGCGGAGGCUCGCCGGAGAUGCUCCAAAACGGCCUAUGGGGCUCGGUUAGAAGCGCUGAAGGCACUGGGGUGAAGCCCAGGCUCGACCGCAUCGCACAGGGGGGCCGAAGGGGGGGGGCUAGGUCACCGGAGUAGCCCCGGCGACUACCGAAACUCGGCCAUGGCGAGGCUAGCGCUAGAAGGCACGGGAGGAAGAGAUUGGGACGGCUACGGCUUCAGGAGAGCUCACUGAGCACGCCGGGGUGCUCGGUAGUGGCUCCCGGAGUUGCUAACCACGAUGACACCAUGGCCGGCGGCAGGGGCUUCGGCUUCGGCAGCUAGCAUGGUGGGAGGAAGGGGAGAUCGACAAGGGGAGGGGGAAUGCGUCCGGCGGCUCACAGGGAAUCGACUGGAGCACACGACGAGCUCGGGGACACCUUGGUUGGCGCGAAUCGACGAGGAAGGUCCGGCGGCCAGAGGUGAAGGGGACGACGGCGAUGGCGAUGCUCCGUGGCUCGGGUGCUCGGGGAGGUUGACGGCGAGGAUCUUCUCGACGAGGCGGAGCUAAUGNNNNNNNNNNNNNNNNNNNNNNNNNNNNNNNNNNNNNNNNNNNNNNNNNNNNNNNNNNNNNNNNNNNNNNNNNNNNNNNNNNNNNNNNNNNNNNNNNNNNUUCAAAAUCAAUGAACCCAAAAUGGCCUCAAGAAAUGUUCAAACUUUCUGAUAAAUCAUGAAAGUAAAUGAGCAUUGGAGAAAACUAUUUUCUUGACACUUUAAGCUUUUUGAUUAAAUGCAAAAAGCCACUGGUUUCAAAUUUAAAAUUUGAAAUCAGAAACUAUAAUUUUCCAAAAAUGUUGAAAACCUUGGAAAUGAGUGGGGAUAUUAUAAAAAAUAUUUCAGGAGGUCUAAAAUAGCUUUUACUUUUUGUUUUGGAGCUGAAUUAAUUAGCAAAACAACAAUUAGCAAAACAGAAAAACAAAAACAGAAAAAAUUAGAAAAACCUUACCUGUCGCCUAAGCGUGGCCCGGCCCAUCUCCCCGCUCGUCCCCUCCCUCGCGCCAGUAGGGAGCAGGAGGUGGCCGCCGCCCCCUCCGGCGCGGCCACGCACCUGCGUGCCUNNNNNNNNNNUAAUUAGCAAAACAGAAAAACACAAACAGAAAAAAUAGAAAAACCUUACGUGUCGCCUAAGCCUGGCCCGGCCCAUCUCCCCGCUCGUCCCCUCCCUCGCACCAGUAGGCAGUAGGAGGUGGCCGCCGCCCCCUCCGGCGCGGCCACGCACCUGCGUGCCUGCCUGGCCGCCGCCUCGCGCUGGCGACGACGGGGAUAAUCUCCCCAGAGCCUCCCCUAUCCAUUCCCCGCCUCGGUUCUCUUCCUCCUCCCGGAUCUCCUCCUCCUCCUUGCUGCCGCCAUUAGAGCCGAGCUCGAGCUCGAGCUGCCCGUGCCCCUGGCCAUAGGAUCCCCUCCCAGAGCAUGCCAUUAGCUCCGCCUCGUCGCCCUGGUCAUCUCUGCAGAAGCCGAAGCUUCCUCGAGCCCUGCAACGCCCGCAACGCCGUCGUCUUCCACCUCCGGCCGCCGGACCUCUUCCGUCGAUUCGUCGCCCCCAGGCCUUCCCCGAGCCGUCUAAGCUCUGCUCUGCACUCCCCUUGAGCAUGCGGUCGUUUCCCCUAAGUUUUCCCCGUCGAUCCCCUCCUCUAGCCCUAGUUUCACCGGAGCCCGACGAGGACCGCCGCUGCCGCUCGUCGCCGGUAGCCCUCCGAUGUUCAACUCGUCCUUCCGAGGGCACCAGCAGCUCCAGGACGACGCGUAGAUGCCGUAGCAGCUAAGAACGGAGCGUAGAUCCCCCUGAUUCAAAGACCCCGAUGACGCCCGAGCUUCGGCCGCCGCNNNNNNNNNNUCCGGAGCCCAACGAGAACCGCCGCUGCCGCUCGUCGCCGGUAGCCCUCCGAUGUUCAGCUCGUCCUUCCGAGGGCACCAACAGCUCCAUGACGACGCGUAGAUGCCGUAGCAGCUAAGAACCGAGCGUACAUCCCCCUGAUUCAAAGACCCCGAUGACGCCCGAGCUUCGGCCGCCGCUCCGGCUCGUCGCCGACGCCUCUUCCGGCGACCCUAGCCUCCCCAGUUUGUCCUGCCAGAUCGGCCACUUCGCGAGCAUGCUGUAGCUGCCAACCGCGUGCGUUUUGGUGCUGUGCAGCGCCGUCUAGGUCGCCUCCGGCGAGGCCUCCGCCGCGGGUCUGGUCGCCGGCGACCACCCUCCGGUGGGCGUCGACGUGGCCGACCAUUAGGGCGUAAUUGCCCUCCCCUGAGUCGUUGACAGAGGGCCCCACGCCUGGUCAAACCCCAAUUAGGGGCUGGUGAGCGCGGGAUUAGUCCCAGAGAGGCUGACCAGUGGGGCCCCCCUGUCAGGUUUGACCUGAACAGGUCGGCUGACCUGCUGACGUCAGCCUGAGGCAAUAAAUAGGAUUUCCAGUAUAAAACUAAUUCAGGAAAUUGCUAAACUUUGUAAAAAUCAUAGAAAUUAAUCUGUAACUCCAAUGAAAAUAAUUUAUAUAUGGAAAAGUAUCAAAAAAUUCAAGGAUUCUGAUUAUGCUAUUUUCAACCAUGUUUAAAAAANNNNNNNNNNNNNNNNNNNNNNNNNNNNNNNNNNNNNNNNNNNNNNNNNNNNNNNNNNNNNNNNNNNNNNNNNNNNNNNNNNNNNNNNNNNNNNNNNNNNUCGGGCUCCAGUGAAACUAGGGCUAGAGGAGGGGAUCGAUGGGGAAAACUUAGGGGAAACGACCGCAUGCUCACGGGGAGUGCAGAGCAGAGCUUAGACGGCUCGAGGAAGGCCUGGGGGUGACGAAUCGACGGGAGAGGUCCGGCGGCCGGAGGAGGAAGACAACGGCGUUGCGGGCGUUGCAGGGCUCGAGGAAGCUUCGGCUUCUGCAGAGCCGACCAGGGCGACGAGGCGGAGCUAAUGGCGUGCUCUGGGAGGGGAUCAUGUGGCCAGGGGCACGGGCAGCUCGAGCUCGAGCUCGGCUCUAAUGGCGGCAGCAAGGAGGAGGAGGAGAUCCGGGAGGAGGAAGAGAACCGAGGCGGGGAAUGGAUAGGGGAGGCUCUGGGGAGNNNNNNNNNNGCUCCCUACUGGCGCGAGGGAGGGGACGAGCGGGGAGAUGGGCCGGGCCACGCUUAGGCGACAGGUAAGGUUUUUCUAAUUUUUUCUGUUUUUGUUUUUCUGUUUUGCUAAUUGUUGUUUUGCUAAUUAAUUCAGCUCCAAAACAAAAAGUAAAAGCUAUUUNNNNNNNNNNNNNNNNNNNNNNNNNNNNNNNNNNNNNNNNNNNNNNNNNNNNNNNNNNNNNNNNNNNNNNNNNNNNNNNNNNNNNNNNNNNNNNNNNNNNAACGACAUAACACUUCACCAUAUUUGGGCCUAGAGGAAGGCAUUGGGAAGUAGUAAGUAGAUGAUGGGUUGCUGGAGUGAGAGAAGCUUAAACCCCAGUCUAUGCGUUGCUUCGUAAGGGGCUGAUUUGGAUCCACUAGUUUAAUGCUAUGGUUAAAAGUUGUCUUAAUUCUUGUUUUGUAGUUGCGGAUUCUUGCGAGAGAGGUUAAUCAUAAGUGGGAUGCUUGGCCAAGUAAGGGCAGUACCCAAGCGCCGGUCCACUCACAUAUCAAACUAUCAAAGUAACAAACGCGAAUCAUGUGAACAUGAUGAAACUAGCAUGACAGAAAUUCCCGUGUGUCCUCGGAAGCGUUUUUCCUCCUAUAAGACUUUGUUCAGGCUUGUCCCUUGCUACANNNNNNNNNNGUUAAUUCUUCUUUUGUAGUUGCGGAUGCUUGCGAGAGAGGUUAAUCAUAAGUGGGAUGCUUGUCCAAGUAAGGGCAGUACCCAAGCGCUGGUCCACUCACAUAUCAAACUAUCAAAGUAACGAACGCGAAUCAUAUGAACAUGAUGAAACUAGCAUGACANNNNNNNNNNNNNNNNNNNNNNNNNNNNNNNNNNNNNNNNNNNNNNNNNNNNNNNNNNNNNNNNNNNNNNNNNNNNNNNNNNNNNNNNNNNNNNNNNNNNGUUGGAUCACAAAGGGGCAUUUCCUUGUAAGGAGUGCUACUAAAGUUCACGACUAGGUAAUCGAACCCCAUACAUAUCAGGUACGUCACACGUACGCAUGGCAUACCGAUAUGUAUAGAUACAUCGAUGGCAUCACAACAUAACCAUGAACAUACAACCUUUAUUUAAGAGGCUCGGAAGAGCCACACACAUAAUAUUACACAUUAAGGUCUCACGACCCAUAAUAGCAGUCAUACAAUACAAGCCAGCGGAAGAGUUAUAAACUGUCUGGGUACAGACAGAGCAACUAGAAGGCACAUGGCCUGACUAUACUACAGAGCCGACGUAGGGCCAGAUUGUAGCUGGGACACCAGCUACUCGUCGUCGUCGAUGUCUACGAAGAACCCUCUAUUAGGGUCAUUAGCAACCUCUGCAACAUUUAUUAAGCAAACAUGAGUACGAAGGUACUCAGCAAGACUUUAGGAGAACUAACUACUUAUGCAAGGUAUCAAAGAGUAUUGUGGGGUUUCAUGCGGGAAGCCAGCAUUUGACUCGUGGCUAGACAACUUGCUUUUUUGGAAAUUAGGUUUGACAACUUGAUUUCUCGCACACGAGUCCACUAACACCACAACAAUACACUAUCGUGGAAUCAAUCCGUCUCCAUACGGGAAUGCCGUCCACGACACUCACGCUUAUCUUGACAAUUUUAUGAGUAGCCAUUGAAGUUAUCUAUGAACAACAUAUGUCUCCAAGUAGUCCAUAUCCGCGGACGCGGCUAUUCGAAUAGAUCAUAACCCUGCAGGGGUGUACUUCGUCACACACGCUCUCGCCACUUAUCGCCAUGUGCACGUCAUGCACCUCGGCAACCUUCAAGCGGAAGCCCAGCGAGGGAGUCGGCCACGACCGUUAACCACACUAGUACCUAGUCCANNNNNNNNNNNNNNNNNNNNNNNNNNNNNNNNNNNNNNNNNNNNNNNNNNNNNNNNNNNNNNNNNNNNNNNNNNNNNNNNNNNNNNNNNNNNNNNNNNNNAGGGAGUCGGCCACGACCGUUAACCACACUAGUACCUAGUCCAGGUUUAUCGCCUAUUUGAGAGUAACCCGUACGGAAGUCCGGCCGAGGUUUCCGCCACGGCCUCAAACGAUGUGCGCAGGGUUCCCAAGCCCACCAUCCGGGUGCCACUUGGUACACCGUGCCACUGCCUACCGCAUCACGGUCCACCCCUCAGGUCAGCACCAUGCACGGCCUCCAGCAUUACUAUAAACACCAGAAACUACUUGCAACUCCUGGACCGAGUACUACGCGAUUAAUAGACCGAGCGGGGUCAUAUUUCAGGGCUCGGCAUGUGGUAGUAUCUAGUCUUGGAUUACAUACACGGAACUCAGUUCCUAAGGACGGUUCCAAUGAAACAACCCGCCAUGUACUCCUACACAGCCUUUGACAAGGUUAGGUCAUGCAAAGGAAGUGGGUUCAACUAUCGUGGCAAAAGCAGUUGAAGNNNNNNNNNNGUGAAACAACCUGCCAUGUACUCCUACACAGCCUUUCACCGGUACCUUUACCAAAUCAAGUUCAAGACACAACCUUUGCUCACCGAACACAUUCCACAUUUCUGUUCAUCUCCCAGAUGAUAGACCAUACACAACUCUAAGCAUAGCAUGCAUAGCAGGAUAAGGCACANNNNNNNNNNUACACAACCUUUGCUCACCGAACACAUUCCACAUUUCUGUUCGUCUCCCAGAUGACAGACCAUACACAACUCUAAGCAUAGCAUGCAUAGCAGGAUAAGGCACAUCAUAGCUCAAGCAACUACCAGGUAUGCUAGGUUGCAAGGUUCGGCUAUUUACUGUGACAAGGUUAAGUCAUGCAAAGGAGGUGGGUCCAACUAUCGUGGCAAAAGCAGUUGAAGCAUUUGAUCCUAAUGCAAUAAAUAGGUGCAGGAGCAAGAACAUAGGAGUUAUCGGGAUGAUCAAAAGGGUUGCUUGCCUUGUUGCUCAGAGGAGGAACGAUAUCCGUCAGACGGAUAUUCGGUGGAAUCCGGGGGUGCGNNNNNNNNNNNNNNNNNNNNNNNNNNNNNNNNNNNNNNNNNNNNNNNNNNNNNNNNNNNNNNNNNNNNNNNNNNNNNNNNNNNNNNNNNNNNNNNNNNNNCCGCCAUUAGAGCCGAGCUCGAGCUCGAGCUGCCCGUGCCCCUGGCCAUAGGAUCCCCUCCCAGAGCACGCCAUUAGCUCCGACUCGUUGCCCUGGUCAUCUCUGCAGAAGCCGAAGCUUCCUCGAGCCCUGCAACGCCCGCAACGCCGUCGUCUUCCACCUCCGGCCGCCGGACCUCUCCCGUCGAUUCGUCGCCCCCAGGCCUUCCCCGAGCCGUCUAAGCUCUGCUCUGCAGUCCCCGUGAGCAUGCGGUCGUUUCCCCUAAGUUUUCCCCGUCGAUCCCCUCCUCUAGCCCUAGUUUCACCGGAGCCCGACGAGGACCGCCGCUGCCGCUCGUCGCCGGUAGCCCUCCGAUGUUCAACUCGUCCUUCCGAGGGCACCAGCAGCUCCAGGACGACGCGUAGAUGCCGUAGCAGCUAAGAACGGAGCGUAGAUCCCCCUGAUUCAAAGACCCCGAUGACGCCCGAGCUUCGGCCGCCGCNNNNNNNNNNUCCGGAGCCCAACGAGAACCGCCGCUGCCGCUCGUCGCCGGUAGCCCUCCGAUGUUCAGCUCGUCCUUCCGAGGGCACCAACAGCUCCAUGACGACGCGUAGAUGCCGUAGCAGCUAAGAACCGAGCGUACAUCCCCCUGAUUCAAAGACCCCGAUGACGCCCGAGCUUCGGCCGCCGCNNNNNNNNNNNNNNNNNNNNNNNNNNNNNNNNNNNNNNNNNNNNNNNNNNNNNNNNNNNNNNNNNNNNNNNNNNNNNNNNNNNNNNNNNNNNNNNNNNNNNNNAGAUCGGCCACUUCGCGAGCAUGCUGUAGCUGCCAACCGCGUGCGUUUUGGUGCUGUGCAGCGCCGUCUAGGUCGCCUCCGGCGAGCCCUCCGCCGCGGGUCUGGUCGCCGGCGACCACCCUCCGGUGGGCAUCGACGUGGCCGACCAUUAGGGCGUAAUCGCCCUCCCCUCAGUCGCUGACAGAGGGCCCCACGCCUGGUCAAACCCCAAUUAGGGGCUGGUGAGNNNNNNNNNNUGCCCUCCCCUGAGUCGUUGACAGAGGGCCCCACGCCUGGUCAAACCCCAAUUAGGGGCUGGUGAGCGCGGGAUUAGUCCCAGAGAGGCUGACCAGUGGGGCCCCCCUGUCAGGUUUGACCUGAACAGGUCGGCUGACCUGCUGACGUCAGCCUGAGGCAAUAAAUAGGAUUUCCAGUAUAAAACUAAUUCAGGAAAUUGCUAAACUUUGUAAAAAUCAUAGAAAUUAAUCUGUAACUCCAAUGAAAAUAAUUUAUAUAUGAAAAAGUAUCAGAAAAAUUCAAGGAUUCUGANNNNNNNNNNAUUUGUAAAAAUCGUAGAAAUUAAUCUGUAACUCCAAUGAAAAUAAUUUAUAUAUGGAAAAGUAUCAAAAAAUUCAAGGAUUCUGAUUAUGCUAUUUUCAACCAUGUUUAAAAAANNNNNNNNNNNNNNNNNNNNNNNNNNNNNNNNNNNNNNNNNNNNNNNNNNNNNNNNNNNNNNNNNNNNNNNNNNNNNNNNNNNNNNNNNNNNNNNNNNNNUCGUCUCGCGACUCCGAUUGGUACUUGUAAGGUUGCUAGUAGUGUUGAUUACUCUUUGUAGUUGAUGCUAACUAGAUUAUUUGGUGGAAGAGUUUAAGUUCAGAUCCUUGAUGCUACUCAUUACCUCUCUCAUCAUGAUUAUGAUUAUGCUUUGUGAGUAGUUACUUUUGUUCCUGAGGACAUGGGAUAAGUCAUGCUAAUAAUAGUCAUGUGAAUUUGGUAUUCGUAUGGUAUUUUGAUAUGUUGUAUGUUGUUUUUCCUCUAGUGGUGUUAUGUGAACGUCGACUACAUAAGACUUCACCAUUAUUUGGGCCUAGAAGAAGGCAUUGGGAAGUAGUAAGUAGAUGAUGGGUUGCUAGAGUGACAGAAGCUUAAACCCUAGUUUAUGCGUUGCUUCGUAAGGGGCUGAUUUGGAUCCACUAGUUUAAUGCUNNNNNNNNNNCUUUCGUAGUUGCGGAUGCUUGCGAGAGGGGUUAAUCAUAAGUGGGCGGUUUGUCCAAGUAAGGGCAGCACCCAAGCACCGGUCCACCCACAUAUCGAACUAUCAAAGUAGCGAACGCGAAUCAUAUUUACAUGAUGAAAACUAGCUUGACAGAAAUUCCCAUGUGUCCUCGGGAGAGCUUUACCUCCUAUAAGAGUUUGUUCAAGCUUGUCCCUUGCUACAAAAGGGAUUGGGCCACUUUGCCGCACCUUUGUUACUAUUGCUACUUGUUACUUGCUACUUGCUACGAAUCAUCUUAUCACACAACUACUUGUUACCGAUAAUUUCAGUGCUUGCAGAGAUUACCUUGUUGAAAACCACUUAUCAGAUCCUUCUGCUCCUCGUUGGGUUCGACACUCUUACUCAUAGAAAGGACUAUGAUAGACCCCCUACACUUGUGGGUCAUCAAAUGUGUACCUCGGACAUCAUCGAUUUAUUCCGACCAACCAUCAAUGUUGAAACAAAGGAAAAGAUUUCAAAGGUGAGGGAGAUCACCGGAAGAAGCCCGCCCUCCGUACUGGUGAUCACAUACUUGAUAUGGUUAAUGAUUUACAUGUAAUCUUUGGAAAGGGUCCUAGCGGACUAUCUGUUCCGAAUGACGAUGCAGGACGCGCACCCAUGUGGAAGAAGAAAUCUAUAUUUUGGGACCUACCCUAUUCGAAAGACCCAGAGGUCUGCUAUGCAAUCGACGUGAUGCACGUGACGAAGAAUCUUUGCGUGAACCUUGUAGGAUUCUUGGGAGUGUAUGGGAAGACAAAAGAUACACCGGAGGCAUGGGAGGAACAUCAACGUGUACAUGAAAAAUACGGCAUGCAUCCAAAGCAAUAUGAAGGUCCUGCUAGCUACACUCUUACCAAAGAAGAGAAGGGAAUCUUCUUUGAAUGCCUGCUCAGUAUGAAGGUCCCCUCUAGCUUCUCGUUGAAUAUACACGGAAUAAUAAAUAUGGUAGAGAAAAAGUUCCAGAACCUAAAGUCUCAUGACUGCCACGUGAUUAUGAUGCAACUGCUUCCGGUUGCAUUGAGGGGGCUUCUAACAGAAAACGUUCGAUUAGCCAUUGUGAAGUUAUGUGCAUUCCUCAAUGCAAUCUCUGAGAAGGUGAUCGAUCCAGAAAUCCUGCCAAGGAUAAGGAGUGAUUUUGUGCAAUGUCUUGUUAGUUUCGAGCCGGUGUUCCCACCAUACUUCUUCAAUAUCAUGACGCACGUCCUAGUUCAUCUAGUCGGCGAGAUUUUCAUUCUAGGCCGUGUAUUUCUACACAAUAUGUUCCCCUUUGAGAAGUUCAUGGGAGUCUUAGAGAAAUAUGUUCCUAACUACGCUAGGCCAGAAUGAAGCAUCCUCAUGGGCCAUCAAACAGAGGAUGUCAUUGGGUUUUGUGUUGACUUCAUUCCUGACCUUAAGAAGAUUGGUCUCCCUCAAUCGCGGUAUGAGGGGAGAUUGACUGGAAAAGGCACCCUAGGAGCAGACUCAAUAAUAUGUAUGAACGGGCAUUCUUGGUCUCAAGAACACUACACAGUUCUACAGAAUUCUACCAUGGUGACCUCGUAUGUAGAUGAACACAAGAAUAUUUUGCGCUCCAAACACCCGGAGCAGUGUGACGACUGGAUUACAUAUGAACACAUCAUGACUUUUGGCAGUUGGUUGCAAAAACGUCUCAUGGGUGACAACACUGUUUCUGAUGAGCUAUACUCGUUGGCCAGGGGACCAUAUUGGACCAUAGUGACUUACUAAGGGUACGAGAUAAAUGGGAAUACAUUUUACACGAUCGCCCAAGAUCAAAAGAGCACCAAGCAAAACAGCGGUGUCCGCUUUGAUGCAGGAAACACCAACAGGGGAAAGGACACAUAUUAUGGUUACAUAGUGGACAUAUGGGAACUUGACUAUGGACAUGAUUUCAAGGUCCUUUGUUUCAGUGCAAAUGGGUGAAUCUGUCACGAGGCAGGGUACAGAUAGACCCACAGUACGGAAUAAUCAACAGUGGAUCUGAACAAUCUUGGGUACACAGACGAACCAUUUGUCCUACCCAAUCAUGUGGCGCAGGUUUUGUAUGUGAAGGACAUGUCUACCAAACCGAGAAGAAGAAAAUAUAAGGCAUCGAAUACAUCAUACGAUGAGCCAAAGCGCCACAUAGUUCUUUCAGGAAAAAGAGACAUCGUGGGAUUGGAGGGCAAGAUAGACAUGCCUGAAGAUUAUGAAAAGUUUCAUGAAAUUCCUCCCUUCAAAGUCAAGGCUCACCGAAGCACCCUGUUAAAGAUCAAGAUUAUCCACGGUUACGGCGCAAUAAGCAAAGGACACAAGCGAAGAAAAAGUGAAGAAAUGAAAUGCCUUUUGUAACAGAUGAGUUUUCAUAUGAAACCAUGAUACUUUGAAACAGUUUGUCCGAUUUGUACACGAAGUGCAUCCAGUUUUUGUCGUAACCCUCUCAACUUUUUAGCACAUGCUAUGUGGGUGAAAUGAUAAUACCAUGCCCACUUUCAACCUUUUCAGAGUUCAUUUGUAGUGCUUUUCAAUUUCAUGAUCAUUUAGCUCAAAACAAUCAGUAAAUGCAUGAAAAACACCAAACGAAGUCAGAAAUUGUUGAAAAUUGAUGAUGUGGCUUUGAAUGGUGCAUUUUGAACACACAAAAAAGUCUGGAGUUCAAAUAAGUUCAAAAAAGGAGACCCCUUUGUAACAGAUGAGUUUUCGUAUGAAACCCUAAUACUUCGAAAGAGAUUGUCCGUAUUGUACACGAAGUGCAUCCAGUUUUUUCCGUAACCCUCUCAACUUUUUGGCACAUGCUAUGUGCGUGAAAUUAUGAUAUCAUGCCAACUUUCAACAUUUUUAGAGUUCAUUUGUAGUGCUUUUCAAUAUCAUGGCCAUUUAGCUCAAAUUUUUUAGUAAAUGCAUGAAAAAUACCAAAUGAAGUCAGAAAUUGUUGAAAAUUGAUGAUGUGGCUUUGAAUGGUGCAUUUUGAAUACACAAAAAGUCUGGAGUUGAAAUAAAUUCAAAAAAAUGAAAUCUCUUUGUAACAGAUGAGUUUUCGUAUGAAACCGUGAUACUUCGAAGGAGAUUGUCCGUUUUGUACACGAAGUGCAUCCAGUUUUUUCCGUAACCCUCUAAACUUUUGAGCACAUGCUACAUGGAUGAAAUGAUGAUACCAUGCCAACUUUCAAUAUGUUCAAAGUUCAUUUGUAGUGAUUUUCAAUUUAAGGGUCAUUUAGCUCAAAAAAAUGAGUAAAUGCAUGAAAAACACCAAAUGAAGUCAGAAAUUGUUGAAAAUGGAUGAUGUGGCUUUGAAUGGUGCAUUUUGAACAUACAAAAAGUCUGGAGUUCAAAUAAGUUCAAAAAAUGAAAUCCAUUUGUAACAGAUGAUUUUCGUAUGAAACCCUCAUACUUCGAAAGAGAUUGUCCGUUUUGUACACGAAGUGCAUCCAGUUGUUGCCGUAACCCUCUCAACUUUUUAGCACAUGCUAUGUGGGUGAAAUGAUGACACCAUGCCAACUUUCAACCUUUUCAGAGUUCAUUUGUAGUUCUUUUCAAUUUAAGGGUCAUUUAGUUCAAAAAAAUCUGUAAAUGCAUGAAAAAUACCAAAUGAAGUCAUAAAUUAUUAAAAAUUGAUGAUGUGGCUUUGAAUGGUGCAUUUUGAAAAAAAUUGUGACCUAAAAGCAAAAAGAAUCACUGAAAAACAGUAAGUAGGAACAGAAUAAAAUAAAUAAAGUAAAGACAAAACAAAAAAACUAGAUUUUUUUAAAUGCCACUUACUUAGCAACCACGACAAUAAUACGACUAGAAACCCAACCAACUGGUUGGGCCAUGAUUCACGCUCGCACAAGGCCCAAUAGGCCCACAGGUAGUGGUAGAUUAGGCCCGGAAACCUACAUUGAGAGGAGGUCGACAGGGUGUGCACAACAGCGCUUAUAAACCACCCGCGAGCUCUCUCAGUUAGCGAGGUGGGACUAAAAAUUUGGCCUCGAGCAACACCACACUUAGGUCUCGGUUGGUGGUUCAAACCGGCACCAAUACCACCCUUUCGUCCCGGUUGGAGCCACCAACCGGUACUAAAGGUCUCUUCUUCCCGCCCUUUUGGGCUGCUGAAAAUUGACCAUUAGUCCCGAUUCGUGGCUCCAACCGGGACGAAAGGGUGGCAUUGGUCCCGGUUUCAGCCACCAACCGGAACCAAAGGUGUUCGCAUAUAUGGCGGGACUUACCGAAAUUUCCACCAACUCCCAUUUCCCCCGUUCUAUUCUCUCCUGUUGUCUCCGUCGCCCCCGAGCCCGUUGGCGCCGGCCCGCACCUCCUCGACGAGCCCAUCGUCGUUGUCGCCGUCGCCCCCGAGCCCGUCACCGCCGCCGUCGUCCCGAGCCCGUCGUCGCCGUCGCCGUCGCCCCGAGCCCAUNNNNNNNNNNNNNNNNNNNNNNNNNNNNNNNNNNNNNNNNNNNNNNNNNNNNNNNNNNNNNNNNNNNNNNNNNNNNNNNNNNNNNNNNNNNNNNNNNNNNGUACUCCUACACAGCCUUUGACAAGGUUAGGUCAUGCAAAGGAAGUGGGUUCAACUAUCGUGGCAAAAGCAGUUGAAGCAUUUGAUCCUAAUGCAAUAAAUAGGUGCAGGAGCAAGAACAUGGGAUUUAUCGGAUGAUCAAAAGGGUUGCUUGCCUUGUUGCUCAGACGAGGAACGAUAUCCGUCAGACGGAUAUUCGGUGGAAUCCGGGGGUGCGGAGCCUACCGAAAAGAAUGGCAGCAUUCAAUAACAACCAUAUGCACUCAAAAUGAUGCAUGAGCAUGGCAUGAGAAUGCAAGGUGAUAAGUUAUUAUUUUCAACAUGUAAUAGGUUUAGAGUUGAUUUGAACCACAUUCGAAUAGCAAUUCAAACGGGGUAUUCUCGGAUACCGGUUUAAUUGAUUCGACCUGAUGCUCAGAUCAACUUGAUGUUAACAUGCAUGAAAUGUCAUGUUAUGGUACUGAGUUGUAAUUAGGACAGUGUGUGAUCAUUGCAUAUAUAAUGGAAUUUGAAUAUUUUUGCAAAUUCCAUUUAUAAAGUGAUUAAAAGAAUUGAAUUAUUCCUUAAUCCACAAUUUAGGGUUCUGUAACUUUUUUAAACAUGGUUGAAAAUAGCAUAAUCAGAAUCCUUGAAUUUUUCUGAUACUUUUUCAUAUAUAAAUUAUUUUCAUUGGAGUUACAGAUUAAUUUCUAUGAUUUUUACAAAGUUUAGCAAUUUCCUGAAUUAGUUUUAUACUGGAAAUCCUAUUUAUUGCCUCAGGCUGACGUCAGCAGGUCAGCCGACCUGUUCAGGUCAAACCUGACAGGGGGGCCCCACUGGUCAGCCUCUCUGGGACUAAUCCCGCGCUCACCAGCCCCUAAUUGGGGUUUGACCAGGCGUGGGGCCCUCUGUCAGCGACUGAGGGGAGGGCGAUUACGCCCUAAUGGUCGGCCACGUCGAUGCCCACCGGAGGGUGGUCGCCGGCGACCAGACCCGCGGCGGAGGGCUCGCCGGAGGCGACCUAGACGGCGCUGCACAGCACCAAAACGCACGCGGUUGGCAGCUACAGCAUGCUCGCGAAGUGGCCGAUCUGGCAGGACCAACUGGGGAGGCUAGGGUCGCCGGAAGAGGCGUCGGCGAUGAGCCGGAGCGGCGGCCGAAGCUCGGGCGUCAUCGGGGUCUUUGAAUCAGGGGGAUGUACGCUCGGUUCUUAGCUGCUACGGCAUCUACGCGUCGUCAUGGAGCUGUUGGUGCCCUCGGAAGGACGAGCUGAACAUCGGAGGGCUACCGGCGACGAGCGGCAGCGGCGGUUCUCGUUGGGCUCCGGAGAAACUAGGGCUAGAGGAGGGGAUCGACGGGGAAAACUUAGGGGAAACGACCGCAUGCUCAAGGGGAGUGCAGAGCAGAGCUUAGACGGCUCGGGGAAGGCCUGGGGGCGACGAAUCGACGGAAGAGGUCCGGCGGCCGGAGGUGGAAGACGACGGCGUUGCGGGCGUUGCAGGGCUCGAGGAAGCUUCGGCUUCUGCAGAGAUGACCAGGGCAACGAGUCGGAGCUAAUGGCGUGCUCUGGGAGGGGAUCCUAUGGCCAGGGGCACGGGCAGCUCGAGCUCGAGCUCGGCUCUAAUGGCGGCAGCAAGGAGGAGGAGGAGAUCCGGGAGGAGGAAGAGAACCGAGGCGGGGAAUGGAUAGGGGAGGCUCUGGGGAGCUUAUCCCCGUCGUCGCCAGCGCGAGGCGGCGGCCAGGCAGGCACGCAGGUGCGUGGCCGCGCCGGAGGGGGCGGCGGCCACCUCCUACUGCCUACUGGUGCGAGGGAGGGGACGAGCGGGGAGAUGGGCCGGGCCAGGCUUAGGCGACACGUAAGGUUUUUCUAUUUUUUCUGUUUGUGUUUUUCUGUUUUGCUAAUUAUUGUUUUGCUAAUUAAUUCAGCUCCAAAACAAAAAGUAAAAGCUAUUUUAGACCUCCUGAAAUAUUUGUUAUAAUAUCCCCACUCAUUUUCAAGGUUUUCAACAUUUUUGGAAAAUUAUAGUUUCUGAUUUCAAAUUUUAAAUUUGAAACCAGUGGCUUUUUGCAUUUAAUCAAAAAGCUUAAAGUGUCAAGAAAAUAGUUUUCUCCAAUGCUCAUUUACUUUCAUGAUUUAUCAGAAAGUUUGAACAUUUCUUGAGGCCAUUUUGGGUUCAUUGAUUUUGAACUAGUUUGAGAUUUCCUUUAAUUGAAAUGGUGGCUAGGGUUUUGACUUUUUCCUUUGCCACUUUGUUGUUUUUGUUGAAACUUCUUAGAUGCAAAUGCAAAGAAGACAUGAGCACAAUGCUAUCUUGCUUAAGGGUUAGGGAUGUGACAAUGCGUCAUGCAUGCAAGACAUCACACCACGGCAAGAAGGGAAAGAAGCAAGGUGUCACCACGGUGCACGAGGGGGGACCAUGGCGGCAAGACGGAAACGAUGCCACGGCAACGUACCUAUCCCGAUAACUCGUCGAGAUAUCGUGCCAACGAAUAGGGAACGUGUGAACGUUAAAUAAAGAUGGGGUGAUCCCGUAUCUCGGGUUCCCAUGUGUCGAGGCACGACGAAAGAAGACAACGUGCAACGGGCAACAUACGGUGCAAACACACGAUACAACUCAUACAUCACAUGCAUACGGUUCUCGGCCACGUCUCAUCGGUAUACCUUCGACGCAUGUGAAUCGGAGGGGAUCGGGUCGUAGUGGACCAACGGUCGUCGUGGAAGUCGUGGUCGUCGUGGAAGUAGUCGUACACGCGCCGGUAGUUGAAGUAGUGGUACACGGUCUCGUCGACGAUAGUCAUUCGCUCGGCGUUGGUGCACGGUCUUUGUGUCGGUAGUCGAACACGGGUCUUCGGCGACGUCGAGGAAGUCGAACUCGCUUUCGGGGUCGUCGAGGAUGACGUGGAACUCGGUGAGCUCGUCGUCGACCCACGGCAGGCGGGAAUGGUGCACGCGGCAGCACAAGCAAGCGACACGGCAAGUAGGGCAAGCAAACAACUAAUAACUGACGGCAAGCUACGGCAGGCAACCACAACACAUCUGGCAGCUACUAGCAUCGGCACACAACGGUAGCAGGCAAGCUGGCAGCAGCAAGGCAGGCAGCAGGCAAACAGCAGCAACUAGCUGACGGCGGCCUAGCAACAAUCAGCAAGCCACGUAACACAACCAACUAGCUAGCAGCUAAUUCGGCAGCGGCAGGCAGCAGCAAGAGCUGAAAGCUUCGGCACCAGCGGCAACACCACAAUAGCAAGCCACAGCGUCAGCAGCAAACAGCAAGCAACGGGAGCCACAAUCACGCAUCAGCCUGGCAAGCAACACGACAGCAAAGUUAGCAGCAUGUACAUCAACGGCAACUAGCAGGCUAUGGCGGCGGCGCGGGGAAGCAACGGCAACUCGAGGCGGUGCCCUGGAGGCGGGGGCAGGCGGCGACCAGGGAACAGCGACUGCGGCCACGGCGAGCGCGGCGGCACGGUCUUCGAGGGGAGCACGCCCGCGCUGGGACAAGGACCUCCGGCGGGCGACCUUGGGCGGCUCGGGCACCGGCGGGCGAGGGACGAGGGACGCCGGCGGCUACGGCGCAGGGGACCUCGCGCGAGGCGGCGCCAUGGCGCGGGGAACGGCGCGGGCCGGAGACGCGGCGAGCUGGAGGGAGAGGCGGCGCGGCGAGACGAGGUCGGCAGGGCGCGGGGCACAGCAGGCGGCGGGCAGGGCACCUCGCGGGAGGCGGCGGCCAUGACGGGGCGACGGGAUCGAGGCGCCGGAGAGGAGGCGAGGAGAAGGGGGAUGCGGCUCGGGAGAAGACGGCGCUGGGACGGGAUGACGAUGGGAACGGGCAAAGCUGGGCUCGCGCUAGGUCUACGAGGGGAGGUCUGGCCUGGCCGGCUGGGCUGGGCUCCCUCCCCCUGAUGUUUUUUUUUAAACCUGAUUUUUUUUAAAGAAAAGGAAAAAAAUAGAAACUCACAAGAAAAGGUUUUAACAGAAAAACUAAAAUAAAGAAAAUGUCUUUUAACUACUUAAAAACAUACCCCACUAUAAGAAAUAGUUUUGGGCAUUUUCAAAAGAAAUAAAAAUGAAACCUUUCUUUUCAGAAUUAAAAUAAAACCCUUUUACAAAAGAAUAAAAAUCGAACUCCUUUUGACAGGAGAACAAAAUACAACCUUUUUUAUUUAAAGAUUAAAAUAAAGCCCUUUAAAGAGGAAAAGAAAAUGAGACGGAUUUAAAAUAAACAAAAGGAGAAAAUAAAGAAAAUCCAAGGGUUGCCCCCAAAUUUAAUAAAAAGGACUCUUUUAUUGAAAAUAAAAAGACGAACCCUUUUUAAAUAGAGGUUUAAAACGGGAAAUCUUAGCAACCGCAAAAACAAAUAAGAGAGGAGAGGAGGGGAGAAGGUUUAGGUGGCGGUGCAACAGGGUUUAGCGGUGGCUCUCACGCACGCAUUCUCAUCACGCCAACAAACGACGUCACACUCACAAAGCACUAACACCUAACAACACGGAGCAACAAGCAACACCGACAAAACACAGAUGACAUGAUGCCAUGCAUGAUGCGAUGAUGCAAACUAAAUGAUGAUGCAACAAAUAAAACUAAUCACACGACGGAAACGGAAAGAAGGGGGAAUCUUCUGGAACGUCGGCAUCGGGCUGUCACAGGGGAUUAGAGAGGACUAAAGGCGUUUGCUCACCACAAACCCUGUCCACCAAAUGAACAUGCGGGGGAUCGCGGGGUUUCUCAUCCCCUCGGGGAUAAUCCCCUACAAACCUCCUCAAACCCUGCACAUCAAACAAGGCCUAAGGCCAGCCAGACGCGAAAUAAGGCGCAAUAAGUCAAACUCGCCAUUUAAAUGUAUGCCGAGAGGAGGAAAAGGACAAAGGCAAGACGUAUCCGACCCAGGCGCGCCCCUCGAGUUGCAGCCGGCCUGCCUCUUUUUUUGGAAUGUUGGUAGCUUGGCUACCAAAUUAAUUGAUUAGAGGGAAAAAACAUAAGUACAACAGCCCGAGUUGCGCCAGCACCAAGAAGAAGAAAGGUGCCACAGAAAUGGGAAAACAGGAAAAAAGACAAGGAAGAAAAAGAAAAAGACCAGGAAGAACAGGGGUCCUCAGCCUGGAUCAAACGGGAUCCCGGCACCCGCCAUGUUCCACAAGAUGAUCUCGUCCUUGAUCUUAGUAAUGAAGGCAUUCUGACUCAUGCAUUCCUUCUGAAAAAUACGCCUGUUCCACUCACGCCAGAUCUCCCAAAUCGUAAGAUACAUGAGGGAGAGCAUCCCUUUCCUUUUCCGCGGUGUCUCCAUGGAGACACAAUUUUGCAGCCAUCUCGCAAAGUUUGGCUGUCCAUCCCACCUCGUCGGCUGCAGCGAAGGCAAACCAGCCUGAACGCGGUCCAGUUCCAAAUCUUCCUUGACCAGGGGCAUUCUGUGAACAGAUGCAUGGGCGUUUCAAGGCUACGCUCACAUAACCGGCACAAGUAUUCAUUUUCACGCCCCUUCCGAAGCAGUGCGUGUGCCGUCAUGAUUUUCCCAAGCAUUGUUGUCCAUACGAAGAAGCGACAAUUUCCUGGUGCCCAGGCGUGCCAGAUCAGCUUGAAACCAGCCAUGGACAUUGCUCCCUCGAACUGUAGCGCAUACGCUGACCGCGCACUGUACUCUCCGUUGGGAACAAAUCUCCAAGUAAUCGCGUCGGGCUGCCCGUCCUGGAGCGUUACCCUAUCUACCAUAGUUGCCAGAUUUGUUAACUCGGUGGUCAUGUCCUCCGUUAGCCCGUGCGCCAGGUCGUUAAGCCAUGUGUCCCUGAAUAGCGCUUCGUGUACAGAUCUGUUUUUGCACAUCGCAAUCUUGAACAGACGAGGUGCGAUCACCUUAGGGCAUUGUCCAUAUAGCCAUUUGUCGUUCCAAAAUUGAGCGGACCUCCCGUCCCCAAUGCUAAUGUUUGUUGCCAUGGAGAAAAGGGAGCGGUCCUUGCUAUCAGACGAGACCGAAAAAUGAACCCACGGGCGAUCAGGGUUGCGCCAAGCAAGCCAUAGCCAUCGUAGUCGAAGGGCGGUACCAAAAUAGUUCUGAUUCAACACUCCCAGGCCCCCAAGGUGUUUUGGCCUGCAGAUCUGGCUCCACCCCACUCUACAUUGACCUCCCGUGCAAGAGUCUGAUCCCGCCCACAGCCAUGCUCGCGCGGACUUGACCAACAACUUUUGCGCCCAGAUUGGAAGUUUAAAAACCGACAUCCAGUACGUGACAACGGGAAUCAGGUUGGCUUUAAGCAGAACCAGCCGCCCACUUUUGGCCAUUAGAUUUCCUUUCCAGCAUGUGGACCUGCUAGCGAACUUGAGAAUGAAGGGGUCGAGCUAAGCUUUGGUAAGACCUCUCAGAGACAAAGGCAGCCCUAAGUAAGUUGUGGGUAGUGUUUUGACCAUGAUGUUAAGCAGGGCUAGGACGGUUGAUAGGUCCAGGCCACCACACCUUACAGGAAAUGCCGAGCUCUUAGCGCAAUUUAUUCGUAGCCCCGCUUGACCAUUCUCGCGUCGGUUUCUAAUGGGUUCAUGAAAAUGGCCACGUCAUCCGCAUAGAAGGAGCACCGCAUGAGCUUUCUUCUCCCAGGCAGCGGUGAUAGCACGCCGUCCUUCGUGACCAGAUCGAACAAUCGUUGCAGCGGCUCCAUCGCGAGGAUAAAAGGAAAGGGGGAAAUGGGAUCCCCUUGUCUGAGUCCCCUGUGAUGGCGGAUGGGCUUGGAUUGCUCGCCAUUUAGUAGAAUGCACAAUGAAGAUGUGCAUAGCAGCAUGGCAAUCCACUCCCGCCAGCGUUCACCAAAACCCCUUGCAUAUAGCAUGAUAAGAAUGUACGCCCAAGAGACAGAAUCGAAGGCCUUGGCAAUAUCGAGUUUGAGCAGGACAGACGGCUUCUUGGCCUUAUGCAUGUGGCGUAAGGUGUUCUGGACGUACAGAAAGUUUUCUUGGAUGCUGCGCUUUUUGAUGAACGCACUUUGCCAUUGGCUAACCAGGUAAUCCAUUUUUGGGCUCAACCGCUGUGCUAAAAUCUUUGAGAACAGUUUCAUCAGGCUGUGAAUUAGCGAGAUUGGCCUGAAGUCAAACAAGGCAUCGGCGUCGGGCUUCUUGGGAAUUAGCACAAUCAAGGCCCUGUUGACGCGCCGCAUCCCUUUGCAGUCCAUUCGAUGAAGCUGUUGAAGCGCGACCAACACAUCUAGCUUGAUGACCUCCCAGCAAGCUCGGAAGAAUCCACCGGAGAAGCCGUCGGGGCCGGGUGCCUUCUCAGUAGGCAUAUCAUUGAUUGCUUCCUUAAUCUCAGCAAGGGAAAAAUCAUCUUCCAUAUCCGACAGGUCUACAUGGUCAAGGUCUAAAGCCUCCCAAUUAAGGGUAGUUGCUGUAGGCUGUGGCGUGCCAAAAAUGUCCAAGAAAUGCUCAUGUGCAAGCUAUUUCAUCGCGUCCGUGGUCGAUACUGCUCCUGCCGGACCGUGCAGGAUGUGGAUCAAGUUUCGGUUGCGCCUGGCGUUGGCCUUCCUUUGGAAAAAUCUGGUGUUGGCAUCCCCUGCUUUCAACCAUAGAACCCGACUACGCUGUCUGAUUUUGAUUUUGAUAAGUACCGCAAGACCUAAGGAUCUUGAUUUGAGGUUAGCGCGUAGCCCCCUUUCCGGAUCCGAGAGGGGCCUGAAGUCUUGCGCCACAUCAAGCUAGAGAAUGAGCUCCGUGACCGUGGCGAGCUGCCUCUGCACAUCUCCUACUAACGUGCGGCUCCAUCGCUGCAAGGCUUUGCUGAGCCGUCUCAGCUUGAGGUCGAGCGUGGUCAGAGGGCACCUCUAGCCGGCCUGUUCAUUCCAGGAUUGCGCCACUACUUGCUGGAAACCAGAUAUGUACUGCCAGUAUGAUUCAAAACGGAAUCGUCUAUUUGUUUUAGCAUGCGCGACAUUGAUUAACACGAGAGGGCAAUGAUCGGAGAUGCCAGACGCUUGUGGGAGCAGCCUGGCCAUCGGAAAAAGCAUCUCCCAGUCUACGUUGCAGAAGGCUCGGUCUAGCCGAACCAGCGUUGGAUUCGCUUGCUCAUUGUUGCACGUGAACCUACGCCCAAUUAACUGUAAUUCAUGCAGGCAUGAUCUAUUAAGCGUACGACGGAACUUGGUCAUCCAGGUCCGACAUAUACGAUUAUUGCUUUUGUCCCUUGGGUCAGUGAUCAGGUUAAAAUCGCAGAUCACCAGCCACGGCCCCGUCAUGGCAUUAUGAAUGUCCGCGAGCUCGUUUAGGAACGCCUGCUUCCUCUGGGCGUCGUGAGGGCCAUAAACUGUGGUCAAGGACCACUGAUCUCCCCCACCAAUUGGGCAGAAGGAGGUCGUGAUAGAGAACGAACGCAGGUGAACGGCUGUUGCCCUGAACCGGUCACCGCGCCAGCAGAGGAGAAUGCCACCCCUGGUACCUUGUGCUGGUAGGACCGCGUGCUUGCCGAAACCAUUUCCAACGAUCUCUCUCCUGUCGGCAUCUGAAACAGCCGCAAGUUUCGAUUCCUGCAGGAAGAUCAUCGAACAGGAGAGAGGCCUGAUCAGCGCGCGGGUUGACGCGCGCCGAGCACCAUCAUUUAAACCUCUAACAUUCCAACUAAGAAGGGAUAGUUGUUCAUUCAUAGGAAAACAAACAGGCAGCGGUAGAUCAAAGUCGAAACAAUCAGGCAAGAUACAUGACGAAGUCCAAGAUUCGCCCGGCAGCCAAAACGACGUGCAAUACUGCAUUUAAGAGUGCAACUAAUCAUGGAAAUGGGAAUACUGCGGACACAUAGACGCAAUUCACCAAUCUUUCAGGCGGCGCUGCCCGCCAGCUCCUCUAGAAUUGCUUGGAGCUCUGCGUCAGGGAGUUGUAGCUACGACGGAGAGGAGAGACCAGCGAUGUUGGCCAACUUGUUGACGUUCUCAGGCGGCAUCGGGGAGCGGAAGAAUUGCAGGUACUUAAGCAGAGUGCUAUCGGAGAACUCAUCAGGGCACGAGAUGAAGCCUAGCUCAACACUGAUCGCCGCCGGUGCACGCCUGGAGGAAGACAGAUUUGAUUUGAGGCGCUACAGCCUUGAGCUCUGUCUGGCACCCCUUACCACACUGAGAAUACGCUGCCUCAGGGGCCCGGGUGACGGCGUCGCGACCGGCGCAGUGCCGAGGAUGGAUCUGAGAGCAGCGAGGCAAUUUUACUGAUGAAGAGGUGCUGCUCGUCGAUCUCCAGGGUGGACACCUUCUCAGUGAUCGCCAUGAGCAGCCCCGGGCCAGACAAAAUCCGCUAAAGCCUUUCUAGCACGCGCUUCUUCCAGAAACUGCAUCUGGGUAUCAUCAGUACCAAAACCAGCCUGUGCAACACCGUUAUAGCCCGUGGCCGGGCCAAAAGGCAGCACCAAACCAUCAUUCCCGCAGAACCCCAGCUGCGGCCAAGGGGGCUGCACCACCGGCCAGCAUGGCAUCCAACAGGGUGCCAGUCCUUCGGUUGGAAAAUUCCCUGUCGCGUUCCAGAUAGGCGGCAUCGGUCCCUCAUGAAUAAGCACCUGGACGGUGGCCUCAACGGUAUGGUCCAGCGACGGAGGGAAGGGUGGCAGCUCAUAGAUUUCCUAGGGCGGCACCAGAGGGGGGGGGGUGCCACAACCCCUACCUUGGGCAUGAGGCGUUGCUCUACUGGUUCGGGCCACAUAGACAUCAACCCUGUCCCUGUUUGAUCCCAAGCAAAGGGGUCCCAAAGCCCCUUCUCUUUCUGCACCAGGAUGGACCUGGCAUCUUGAACCAUUGCAUGGCUCGGCUGGAUAGCGUCCAUCCCAGCCACUUGCAUCUCUGGCACUUCCGAUCUUCGCAUGGAUGUUGCAUCAGUCACCACAGGGCCAUGGCAGACCGCUUCAUGUGAGCCCCAUUUGUCGCCCUGUCCCUCCAUGCUUCCAUGUUCCUCCGCGCUACCAGGGACGAUAUGCAAGCUCGAAGGCUUGCUCUGCAUCGCUGGCUCAGAGAAAACGUCAUCACAGUUGUGUAUGCAUCUCUCUGGACUAUCAGGUGUUGCCCCGUCAUCCGGUUUGUCAGGCUGCAUCCCUGCAUGCUGCAUCAUCUCGGUCUUCCUUUCUUCACGCUGAACCAACUUCCUCUUCCCCUGAGCGGGUGUCACAUUGCUGACCGCAAGCGACCGCCCUUCCUGUGCAGGUUGCUCCUCCUACUCAUCCCCGCCAGCCGCAGCCCCGCCAGUGCCCACGGCGUGGUGACAACGGUGUCGCCUCGGCUCCGGCUCUCUGCUUGCAGUGUCCCGGCACAUAGCCUGCUCGCGCAUGCUCCGAAAGAAACGCUUGCGCACCCCACCACGAGAGCCCCGUCGGCGUCUGCUGCUGUGACCUCCUGCAUCCCCCUCUUCAUCAUCACUUUGGCGGUCAGCAAGGCGGUUGGAGCAGGAACUCGCUGAUCUGGCCCUGCCUUCCCCAUUCUUUGUGCCAAAAUGCCACUUGCCCUUGAAGCGGUAAGUGCGCGGCCAGGCAGGAUGAUCAUCGCGCCCACGGGUGGUCGGCGUGAAAUCCUUGACGACAUCCAGGUGGAUGAGCACCGGGAACGAUGUGCCCUCUCCGCCCUCCUCUGCAGGCGUUCCUUCAGGCAAGAACUCCCUUGGGCGGACAACAUCUGGCCUCUGCAGGACGGCGAAAUCUGCAGCCCGCGGGAUUUUGUCCGGAUGCCAAGUCCAUAGCCAAGCAAACAACGCGGAGUAGUUGGCCUUUGUGGUAGACUGACGCUCAAUCAGGUCUAGUUCACAAUCCUUUCCGAGAACCUCCUUGACGCUCUCCCAGUCCCAGGCCGUGAGCGGCAGCUUCUCAAUUGCCACACGACAGUAGUAGCGCCACGGCCUCAGCUUGAACUGCACUCCUGCCACGAUAAUGCUCCGCCGCUCGAGUGCCAUGUCUCUCUGAGCAGGCUGGAACAUUGUGAGGAGGAAAUCCUCAGGGAAGAACGGCGCGACGACGAAAUCACUGGCCGGGAAACGGAGGUCUCUCUCCACAGCCCGCGCGACCGCCUCAGCAGAUAUCCCCGAGAAAUGCCCGACCGCUGUCAGGAGCAGCACCGAAGAACGCAUCCGAUGGGCCUCGGCCUCCAUUGUCGGCGUGCCGACCACCUUGCAGCUGGAGGAGGCCGGCCUCCGGAGCGCAUCCCCCGGAACAUAGGCCAUUGUCACCCUGUGCACGUCGGCGUGCCGUGCACAACCGCAGGAGCCUGAACGGUAGCCGCGAACACGACCGAGACUGAACCGAACUCGGCAGGCACAGCAGGAAUGGUAGGUGGACUUGGGGGCGGCGGCGCGGUUGGUGGAGUCGGGCUUGGUGGCGACGGCACAGGCUCAGCUUGACGAGAGGAAGUGGGUCUCUUGCUUCUCAGGCGCACAGUGCAGCCGCGCUCGAGGUGACCAGGCCGCUUGCAGGAGUAGCAGGUUAAGGGAUCUCAGCACUGAAAAGACUUGUGUCUUGAGCCCAGGCAACGGAAACAAGCGUUGGCAAAUCUCUUCUUGAAUGCCUCCGAGGCCGCCGCUGCAGCAGAUCCGGGGCGAUAAUGGCGCAAAGCAUUCGGAGCCGUGGCAGCCUCGCGAGCCUGUUGCCGCGCCAGCGCCACGGCACGCCGAGAGACGACCUCUGUCCAUGGCACUGCAUCUCCCGCCCCUAUUGAAGACGGAGCAGGCAGCUGAGAAGGGGAAGGAAUCGCCGGAGCAGCCGGCGAGAUCACCGUCCCAGCGCCCGUCGCAGACCCAACAGAGGGAAUCCUCGGGCGGCGCAGCUGGAGGAUGGGUGCAGGCGCAGCCCCAAGGCCCGGGCAAACCACGAGGGAUCUGAGUUGCGGCCUGGCGGGGGCAGCCACCAUCGAUGCCCAAGAAGGGGCAGAAGGCCCUGCGGCGGCCGACAGAGAACAAGGAGGGAUGGGGAAGUUACUCACCUGGAUCUGGGCAUCCGCCACCUCACGCAACGCCACACAGGGCAAGACCCUUCCGGAGAUCUGGUCAAUAAUGGUUGAGGAGGCCUUGACCACAUCGCGCAGGGCGAUGCACGGGAGAACGCGGCCCGAGGCGCCAUCAAUGAAGGCCGGAGGUGCGGCAGAGGCCACGGUGCCCGUGCCAUCAAUGAAGGAAGGGGGCGUGGUGGUUGGGGCGGAUGUCGUCGCAGGAGGGGUAGGAGACGGGCGCUCCAUUGUUUUGGAAUUUUGCUAGAUCCUCUUAUGGUAGGAAGGGUAGUCGCUUUCUUUUCAAAACAAAAUACUGAGCACAAAGAGGUUUUGGUCAACAACUCCCAUAUCGUCUAGCCGGCCUGCCUCUGAACUCUAUGGAACAGGAGGAGGGGCGGAAGCAAGCGCUCGACACGAGGCCACGGGCCGAAGGAGGAAAAGGACAAAGGCGAGUCGGAUCCGGCGCCUCUGGUUGCCAGAUUGGAGAUGGGCGAUACCCUCGCGGAGUUUGAGGCAGCCGAAGCGGAGGAGGCGGAGGAGGAACAGACCAUCCUCAACUCUCUCCACUCAGAGGCGGAGGCGGAGGCCAACCGCCGCUAUCUACGCGAGGCAUGGGCGAAGGUCGACAAACACUUUGGCCAGUUUGGAGCCUGACGGACUCUUUGCCAACUUGGAGUCCAACGAGGAGCCGGAGCUGCCCGCGGCGGCCAACGACCAAGAAGCCAGUCCGUCAACCUAUGCCGGCACAGAGGUCGUCUACAUCUCCGACAAUGACUAGUUUAGGCUAGGUUUAUCUUUGUAAUAGUGCGUAACUUUUAGGUUGCAUGGUGUAGUAUAGUAUGAAAUUUGAGGUAUUCAGUUGCAACAUAUGGAAAAUGAGGGGUGACCGCAGGCUCAUAACUAUCUACGUUAUCAGCCUACCAGGUCACUGCAGACGCAAGAAAGGUAUCUACACAUUUCCUCCAAUGAAAUAAAGGGGGAAACAAUGUGUGCACUGACUGGUAUUCAGUUACUAGCAGUACUGAUCUUCAGCCCUCGCAUACUCUUAAACUGAACCAAAUCUCAAUGUGUGAAAAAAGAAAAAAAGUUUCUAAGUUACAGACAUAGCACGGUAACAGGGAGCAAAUUUCUGAGUUACAACAGAGAUAUAGCUGCAACAAUGUAACAUAACCAAAACUCAAGUUCCUCGUGAAUGAAUUAAGUAAACUAGUGUUACAACAAAACAAUGCUACGGACAAGCUAGCUUACAACAACGCUGCAGACGCUUACAAGAAAGCAGGCAAUACAUGCGAGUUCAAAAACACUCUAUCAAGAAUAAUAACUGAGACUCAGCUCACCUUACUCAACCAGGUAUUCAGGAGGAGGCUGCGCAUGUAUUGACACCAUCCUUGCAGUCGCGUGUUAGGUCAUUGAAUGUCUCCAACUUCCUCUUCCCCCUGAGGAACACCUCAGUGUCGACUGCAACCCUCAUGUAACCAUCGAACUCCACCGGUUUGCCAUUGUUGAGCUCCUUAGUUUCAGCAUACCAGUCACUAUUUUCAUCCCAAAGAUCCUUGAAAUCAUCCAGGAAACGCGUCUUGUACUUGUUCUUCAGCGGGUCGAAGAACGAUUUAUCGGACUCAUCGGUAGCAAUGUACAAAUACCGUCCAGCACCAACCUUAUCAUUGAGUGUCGUAAGGAGAUUUUCUGGCGAGGUAUCUGCAUCAAGGUUUGGCCAAAGCUGUGUGUUCUGGGCUUUCUCUCCUCUCACAACAUGCAUCGAGUCGAAAUCCCAACUCAUUCGGGAGGCAAUGGCAGACACAAUCUCCAUCAAGCGGCGCGACUUCCACAAGAAAUGCCAUGGCCGUUUGAUCAUGGCCUCUGUCUCACCCUCGCACACACGUGACCAGUAGUUAUCCGGCUCAACAUGCCCAAACUUCCUCAUGAUCAGCGUGUCCUUGACGUCACGAAGUUUCAUGGGGGUCACCUUGAUGUCUUCAGUAUAGUGAUUCUUCAGUCGAUCCUUCUUGUGCCACUUCCCCCAGUCUGUCCAGAACUGACUCUGGUCGAUCACAGAUGCAGAUUCCUUCAGGUGCUCAAAAUCAAAGUAGAACCUGAAAUCCUUUUCUUCGUCCUUGCCACUGGCGGUAUACCGUGAAUUGAGGCAGACGCUGAAGUCCAUGACAAGCGUCCGGUUCAAGAACUGCGCCUCGCCUAGCGCACACAAGAAACCCCAAAUGUAGUGGUUCAUGCUCUUGCACCUCUCGCCACCGCCCAUAUAAAUGAGGUACCUUCCACGGCUGAAAUCGGAUUCAGAAGCGACCACCGGCAUGCUGUCAUUGACGGCAUCGCCGACAACAAACACCUGGUCUGCAGCGGUUGUGGUGUCCGCAUUAGCACCAUUCUCGUCGAUCCUCAUCUGGGUCUUGGCUGGCACGAAGUCCGUGGUCACCGGUGCCUCACGCUUUCCCUUCUUGCCCUUCUUGCCCUUGCGUCGCCCACUGCGCUUGGCGCCGGUGCCGGAGUGGUACUCGCCGACGCUUCCCACCACGAGGGAGCAUGUGUUGACAUCGCGGGCGAGCGUGAACCGGCGGUAGUCCUUGUAGUAGGUGGUGCGUCCUCUGGCGUCUUCCGCUGGGCGGAAGCGCCAGGCGAGGUCGCACGCCAUGGGGCUCUCCGGCACGACGACGGGGCGGCCGAAGCGAUAGAAGUGGAGGUCGGGGAACCUCUCGAUCGCCGUACGCAUGAGCAGGUUGAAGAGCUCCCUGUCCCCCGUGCAGUCCACCGGCGCCUCCGUGUCGCAGGAAACAGCCUCGACGAUAGGCUUCUCCUCCUGGGCGGCCGAGUUGGAAUCGGCGUCAGUAUCGACGGUGACGGACUGCUCCGUCUCUGCCUCCGUUUUCUCGGAUCCAACAUCGGAGAGCUCGAUGAACUUGGGUCCCGCAGUGGUGGGGGCGUCCUCGGAGGAGUUGGAGCCGGUAGCGAAGUCCUCCCCGGUACGGAGCACGGAGUCGUCGGCGAGGAAGGUGGAGUUGGAGGUGGCGGAGGUGAGGAACGCGGUAAGCUGGUGGGAGGAAGGGUGCAGCAGCGGGUCGUCGGGGCUGUGGACGGCGGCGAGGAGCGUGAACGCGAGAACGGCGGCCACGAAGAGCCCGAAUAGGAGGUUGCCUCCCGACCGCAGCGCCGCGCGCAGGUCGAGUGCGCCGCCGCGCCACAGCGGCGCCGACAUCCCCACCCCUCGCCCCAGCAUUCGCCCGGAUCUGGAAGAGGGAGGCGCGGAUUGAGAAGCGACGGCGAGGGGGAGGGAUCUGUCUGGGGCGCCGACAGGGGGACAGAACGAGCUGAGCUGACGAAAGCGGUGUGACCGUGUGAGUGCAGUUUACUCCAGUUUUUUACUGGGGGACGCGGUCGCGCUUGAGUUGAUGACUUUGUCGAACAGUUUCGAUAAUUCACAUUUUAGGGGCUGUUUGUUCGCGGUCUAAGAUUGUCAUAUCUAACUUUAGUCAUGGCACAAUACUUUAAACACAUUUAUGGUUUGUCACAUUUUUAUAGGUAUAUGAUUCAUAUAUGUCAUAGACUUAAUUUUUUAUCAAAUAUUGUCACACUUAUGGUGUUUAUUUUGUUAACCACACUUUUUUGACAGCCACACUUUAUCUAAGGUUAGUUAUGGCAAAGUUAGUCAUGAACCAAACAUGCCAUUAGUUAUCUCAUUCUCGCUUCGUCCGAAAAUACUUAUGAUAUAAAUAAAUAUAUUUAAUAUAUAUUUUAGUUUUAUAUACAUUUAUUUUUAUAUAUUUAUGUGAUAAGUAAUUUCGAACGAAGGGAGUAUCUAACUAUUGAACCGUUUAAUAAAAUUUUAAAAUUCGUAAGUCUUUUUUAAGGAACUGAAAGGCUUCUACGCUGGUUGAAAUUUUUGACCGGACUGCCCCAGCCGAUCGAUGCGUUUUAUGCCAUCGUUAGAUGUGAGCCAAUCUUCUUCUUCAUCCCCUCGCUGACAUCUCCCAUACGAGAAAAUUUUAGGGGGAAACAUAGUUGUCGUGCUCGCUCUAGGCUACCUGCGCAGGCGACUACCUCGUGCUCGCCCCCGACCGCCCCGUGCUCAUCGUCUUCAGUCGUCGUCGAGGAAGAUACCUCAAUGGUCGUAAAAGCAUGGCCUUCGUCGUCGCAGCAAUUUCAAUCGUCGGUAGUAGCAAACAUCGACAAUGGCUGCAAUAAAAAAUGUUAUCGCGCCGGUUAUAGCUCACCGUGCAUGCCGUCCCAGCAUCCUGUCGUGUCGGUCGCAACAUUUGUGUUGUCCGUUGUAGCAAAAUUGACCUUACAGUCUCGCAGGCCAUAGCAUGGCCGUUUGGUUGUAACAUUUUGUGUCAUCGAUUGUAGCAAAAGUUUACGACAGUUGUAGCAAAAACAUCAUUACCAUCAUCGCAAGUCAUAUCAUGCCACUUGAUUGUAGCAAAAAUUAUUAUCGGUCUUAACAAAAAAAGUCAAGAUGAUUGCAGUAAAAAGAUGUUGUCUGCGCUGUCGCAAAUAGCAGCGUGACCAUUUGAAUGUCGUCCUCCACUGUUGUUCUUUCUAGCGGAGGGCAAUGGCUAGAUCUCCUUUUUCUUCUCGUGGAAGAAAGAACGAUGUAAAGCUCCUAAAGGCUAGGUAAAUGCUCAUACUUACCGCUGGUUGUCGCUUAGUUGGGAAUUUGAAAUAUCACAUUCCUUCUCUAUCUUUAUUAGUGUAGCAUGUUUUCUACCGAAAAUCCAAGUCUCCUUCGAGGAUCAUCUGCUCCGGUUGAUUAAAAAAUAAAAACAUAAUAAAAAUCCAAAAAAUUAUGUGGUAGAUAUUUUGAUGCGUGAGGUCCAUUUUAAAUUUUAACAUAUUUAAACAUCUGAGCAGCUCUCGGCAAAAAAGGCUAAUGGGGUCACAACAGCUGAGAGCUACUCAGACGUUCAAAUAAAUUAAAAUUUGAAGCGUUCCUCACGCAUCAAAUUAUCUACCACACAAAAGAAAAUUGGAUUGUUUUGAAUUUUUCUACUAUUUUUUCGAUUUUUUCCGUGACUGCCGGUGCAGAUGAGCCCGAGAGAGAAACACCGCUCUCGUUUUCUACAUCAAAAAUAAAAUAAACUAAUUUUAACAUUAGUACGAACAUAAAUGUUUAUAUAUAUGUACAUAAGUCAUUGUUCUUGUCGUUGGCCAUGUUUUCGUUACGCUAUUAUCAUUGUGUGAGGCCUUUUAACGUGUUUGUUUUUUGUUCGUUCAUCAUGUUGUCCUGUAGAUGUAUCAUUUUUCUUCUGUCAACGUAAUGUGUGUUGCAUGUGUAUAGUAAAUGAAAGUUGUAUGUCCAUUCUCGACUCGUAAUUGAACCUGUAGUUAUUUUCACCCGAGUUGCAAACCCACUAUCGACUUACAGUUGGUAUAUUUUUUUUUGUUAUCCUAGUUGCAAGUCCAUCCUUGACUCGCAACUAUUGUCACACCAAUUGAAACCCACCCUCGACUCACACGUUUUUUGUCAUCCGAGUUGCAUGUACACCCUCGACUCACAGUGGGCUCCUAGUUGUUUUCAUCCCGGUUGGAAGCCACGCUUCGACUCGCAACUCGGACUGCCUUUUUGUUUUUCUCUCAGUUGCAUGUCCAUCUUUGACUCGUAGUUAGGACUAUUUUUUGUAUGUUCCAGUUGCAAGUCCAUCUUCGACCCGCAAACUAGGCUCAUAGUUGUUUCUAGUUCCAUUUGCAAGCUCAUCCUCGACUCGCAACUCGGUCACGUAGUUGUUUUUGUCUUAGUUGCAAGUCUAUCCUUGACUCGCAAUUGGACUUAGUAGUUAUUUGUGUACCAGUUGCGAGCUGACCCACGACUCGAAAUUGGACCCGGUAGUUAUUUUUUUUCUAGUUGCAAGCUCACCCUCAACUCGCAACUAGACCUUGUAGUUUGGUUUUCGUUUCAGUUGCAAGUCAACCCUCGACUCGCAACUGGGCAUGUAGUUAUUUUUUUUCCCAGUUGCAAGCCCACCCCCGGCUAGCAACUGGGCACCUAGUUGUUUUCGCCUCAAUUGCAAGCCUGCAUGUAAAUGUUUUUUUCUCGGUUGCAAGCUCACCCUCGACUCGCAACAGAGCAUGUAGUUUGUUUUUCAUCCCAGUUACAAGUACACAUUCAACUUGCAACUGGGCCCGCAUUUUUUAUUUUGGCCCAGUUGCAAGUCCAACCUUCACUCACAAUUGGGUAUGUAGUUGUUUUUGCCCAGUUGCAUGUACACCCUCGAUUCGCAACCGAGUUUUUUGUAGGUUCUAGCCGCCCUAUUUCCAACUAAACCAUUAGCUUGCAAAUGCACCUCUUUUACUUUUGUAGGUGUCCCAAUUGCAAGUCAACCCUCUGUUGGGGAACAUUGCAUGGUGUUAGAGCAUAUAUCUCCAUAUGUGGUUUUGGUAAUUGAUGACAAUUCCUAUGGACUAAUGGCUGCCUUAAGUUAUAUUUAUAGGAUUUGUCCAUAGGCACUUCUUGAAGUCCAUCUGUUGGGUUCAAGGAGUUUAUAUGAUGACCAAGGUGGUAUUCAAGGUAUUAUCCAAAGAAUGGUCAUAGAGACACAAGGUUGAUCAAGAUCGUCAGACAAAGAGUAAAUCAAGAUGAUCAACACACAAAGUGUACAAGAUGUACCGAGAGGGAUCAAGUGAUCCCAUGGUAUGGUAAGCAUUGUCCAGUACGUAUUUGUGUACUAACCCCUGGUCUUCUUGAGAGUUCUAUGUGGGGUUAGGUGUGUUUCCAUGGGCUUGCGUCAAGAGGAAUAUCUCAUACAACCCAUGGAGGAUGACGUCAAGUGAUGGAGGAUGGUGGUAAUGGACUUGUGAAGAUAUGCUGACGAGUGGCUCACCCAUAGUGUGUAUGGGGGAGCAAUCAACUAGUCUUCAUCAAACCAACACAAGCAAGAGGAAUAUCUCAUACAACCCAUGGAGGAUGAUGUCAAGUGAUGGAGGAUGGUGGCAAUGGACUUGUGAAGAUAUGUUGAAGAGCGGCUCACCCAUAGUGUGUAUGGGGGAGCAAUCAACUAGUCUUCAUCAAGCCAACACAAGCAAGAAAGGUGGUCCAUCUUGAGGAAGCCAAGAUCAUCGUCAUCUAGCUCAAGAGGACGAGGUGCAAGGUAUAGGUUUGCCCUUGAUAGGUUUUCUGUUUUAGGAUAGAUUGUCGUACUGUCAAGGGGGGCUCUCAAGUGAGUAGCUUGAUUGUAUCGUUCAUUGAGAGCUCAAACCAUUUGCAUCCUUGCAUCAUACUUCUUGGUUCUUGUUUGGUAUUCCUCUUUAUGAGUUUUAGAUCUUAUUGUCAUCUUCAUGACACGCUCGAGUUCAUCGAAAACGGAGUCCAUAUGCAUCUUCUAUGAUGUUUUCGAUGUUGGGUGUUUUUAUCGGUCUUCUUCGAAGAAGGGUUCUCACCGUUCUAUUAUGGGAAUUUUCUCACUUGCUUCUUAUUUAUAUUUCUAUCAAGAUUGUGUUAGCCCAUGUCGUUAUCUUUCCAACAAACUUGGUUUCGUUGAAUUCGGAGUUCGUAUGCAAAAGUUACAACAGUUUCAGUAUCCAGCGGUAGUACCGCGCCCGGUGCCAGCGGUAGUACCGCUCCUGUAGCGGUAGUACCGCCCUCGGAGAGGUAGUACCGCCCCUGGAGCAGUAGUAAUUUUUUACUACCGCUCCAAGAGCGGUAGUACCGCUCCGUCGGACUGUUUUUUGCAUCCUUUUUGGCCUCAGCAUGGUUGGUGAACCUACCGAGCGGUAGUACCGCUCCCAUGAGCGUUAGUACUGCUUUGUGCGGGCUGUGAGGCUUAACGGUUGGGUUUUUUCCCACCUAUAAAAGGGGGUCUUCUUCCCCAUUAAACCUUAUCUCUUUAGCUCGUGUUCUUCCCCCAUUGUUGACCUUCUUCGAGCUUGCUAACUCUCAAUCCCUCCAAUGAUUCUUGCUAGUUUUGAGGGAAAAGAGAGAGGAGAUCUAGAUCCACAUUUCCACCAAUCAUUUUCUCCUCUAAGUGAGGGGGACCCAUUGGGUCUAGAUAUUGGAGUUCUUCGUGUUCUUCUUCAUUCUUCCUCUCAUUUUCCUCCCUAGCAUUAGUUGCUUUGGUGGGAUUUGGGAGAGAAGGAUUUGGGCACUCCGUGUGCCCCUGCCAUUGCAUUUGGUGCAUCGGUUUGAGUUCUCCCCGGUGAUACGUGGAAGUGAUAAGUUGAGAAGCUUAUUACCUUUGGGUACUUGGUACCCCUAGAAGCUUGGUGGUGCCUCGGAGCUCAAUCAUUGUGGUGUAAAGCUCCGAGCAAGCGUCGGGGUCUCCAAUUAAGUUGUGGAGAUUGCCCCCGAGCAUUUGUGGUCACCUCGAAGCCAUAUGCCAUUGUGGUGAAGCUUUGUGGUGUUGUUGGGAGCCUCAAAUUAAGUUGUGGAGAUUGCCCCAACCUUGUACGUACGGGUUCGGUGGCGGCCCUCAAGGGUCCCUUAGUGGAAUCACGGCAUCUUGCAUUGUGCGAGGGCGUGAGGAGAUUACGGUGGCCUUAGUGGCAUCUUGGGGAGCAUUGUGCCUCCACAUCGCUCCAACAGAGAUUAGCAUCCGCAAGGGUGUGAACUUCGGGAUACAUCAUUGUCUCCACGUGCCUAGGUUAUCUCUUACCCGAACCAUUUACUUAUGCACUUUACUUUGUGAUAGCCAUAUUGUUUCUUGUCAUAUAUCUUGCUAUCACUUAGUUGUUUAUCUUGCUUAGCAUAAGUUAUUGGUGCACAUAGUUGGGCCUAGUUGUUUUAGGUUUUAUGCUUGACAAAUUAAACGUUAGUUUUAUUCCGCAUUUGUUCAAGCCUAAACCGUAAUUAUUUUAAAGCGCCUAUUCACCCCUUUCACAUGGGAAACAAAUUUUUUCCUACGCACACGAAGACCUAUCAUGGUGAUGUCCAUCUACGAGAGGAGAUUAGAUCCACAUACCCUUGUAGAUCACUAAGCAGGAAGCGUUAAGAAACGCGGUUGAUGUAGUGGUACAUCUUCGUGAUUCAAAUCACCGUCGUCCUACGAUCCGUUCCGAUCUAGCGCCGAACGGACAACACCUCCGCGUUCAGCACACGUACAGCUCGAUGACGAUCUCGACCUUGUUGAUCCAGCAAGAGAGACGGAGAAGUAGAUGAGUUCUCUGGCAGCGUGACGGCGCGCCGGUGUUGGUGAUGAUCUAUUCCUGCAGGGCUCCCCGAGCUUCGCAUAAAUCUAAUCUAGAGGAAGAACUACGAGGUGUAGGUUUGAGUUGCACGUGGCAAAGUUGUGUCUCAAACAGCCCUAAACCUCAAGUAUAUAUAGGAGGAGCCAAGGGGUGGGGCAAGCCCUUAGGGCGCCAGCCAAGAAGGCCUCCUUGGGUCGGCCGACUUGGGGAAGGGAUGAGUCAUUCUCCAAUCCCACUUGGAUUAGGACUCCUUCCUUAUUUUCCCACCUCUUUUGGAUUUUCCACUUUUUCUUGAUGGGCUUUCCUUGGAUGACUUUGUUAGCCCGUUAUACCUUAUUGUGCAUCCAAUAAACCCAUGUGGAUCCCUUGGGGCGUGGUGGGCCCACCCAGUGCGCCCCCGGAACCCAUUCAUCACUCCUAGUACACUGCCGACAAUGCCCGAAAACUUUCCGGAAUCCAAACACCAACUUCCUAUAUAUCAAUCUUCGUUUCCGGACCAUUCCGGAAACCCUCGUGACGUUCGUGAUCACAUCCGAGACUCCGAACAACCUUUGGUCACCAACACAUAUAACUCAACUAAACUAAAACGUCAUCGAACCUUAAGUGUGCAGACCCUGCGGGUUUGAGAACUAUGUAGACAUGACCCGUGACACUCCUCGGUCAAUAUCCAAUAGCGGGACCUCGAUGUCCAUAUUGGAUCCUACAUAUUCUACGAAGAUCUUAUCGGUUAAACCUCUGUGCCAAGGAUUCAUAUAAUCUUGUAUAUCAUUCCCUUUGUCCUUCGGUAUGUUACUUGCCCGAGAUUUGAUCGUCGGUAUCCCUAUACCUAUUUCAAUCUCGAUACCAGCAAGUCCCUUUACUCAUUCUGUAAUACAAGAUUUCGUGACUCAUACUUGAUUCACAUUGCUUGCAAGGCUUGUGUGUGAUGUUGUAUUACCGAGUGGGGCCCGAAAUACCUCUCCGUCACACGGAGUGACAAAUCCCAGUCUUGAUCCAUGCAAACUCAACGGAUACCUUCGGAGAUACAUGUAGAGCACCUUUAUAGUCACCCAGUUACGUUGUGACAUUUGAUACACACAAGGUAUUCCUCCGGUGUUAGUGAGUUACAUGAUCUCAUGGUCAUAGGAAUGAAUACUUGACACGUAGAAAACAAUAGCAAUGAAAUGACACGAUCACAUGCUACGUUCAAAGUUUGGGUCUUGUCCAUCACAUGAUUCUCCUAAAGAUGUGAUCCCGUUAUCAAGUGACAACACUUGUCUAUGGUCAGGAAACCUUGACCAUCUUUGAUCAACGAGCUAGUCAACUAGAGGCUUACUAGGGACAGUGUUUUGUCUAUGUAUCCACACAUGUAUUUGUGUUUUCAAUCAAUACAAUUAUAGCAUGGAUAAUAAACGAUUAUCAUGAACAAAGAAAUAUAGUAAUAACUAAUUUAUUAUUGCCUCUAGGGCAUAUUUCCAACAGUGUCCCACUUGCACUAGAGUCAAUAAUCUAGUUCACAUCACUAUGUGAUUUUAACGAAUCCAACACCCAUACAGUUCUGGGGUUUGAUCACGUCUUGCUUGUGAGAGAGGUUUUAGUCAAAGGUUCUGAACCUUUCAGAUCCGUGUGUGCUUUACAAAUCUUUAUGUCAUCCUAUAGAUGCUGCUACUACGUGCUAUUUGGAAAUAUUCCAAAUGGGCACUCUACUAUACGAAUCCGGUUUACUACUCAGAGUUAUUCGGAUAGUGUCAAAGCUUGCAUAGACGUAACCCUUUACGACGAACUCUUUAAUCACCUCCUUAAUCGAGAAAAAUUCCUUAGUCCACUUGUUACUAAGUAUAACUUUGACCGUUGUUUAGUGAUUCAAUCCUGGAUCACUCUUUGUACCCCUUGAGAGACUCAUGGCAAGGCACACAUCAGAUGCGGUACACAACUUGGCAUACUUUAGAGCCUACGGCUAAGGCAUAGGGGACGACCUUCGUCCUUUCUCUUUCUUCUGCUGUGGUCGGGCUUUUGAGUCUUACUCAAAUUCACACCUUACAACACAACCAAGAACUCCUUCUUUGCUGAUUCCUUUUUGAACUCCUUCAAAUACUUGUCAAGGCAUGCAUUUCAUUGAAAGUUCUAUUAAGCAUUUUGAUCUAUCUCUAUAGAUUUUGACGCUUAAUGUUCAAGUAGCUAUAUCCAGGUUUUUCCUUUGAAAAACUCCUUUCAAACAACCCUUAUGCUUUUCACAAAUUCUACAUUACUUCUGAUCAACAAUAUAUCAAUCGCAUAUACUUAUCAGAAAUUCUAUAGUGCUCCCACUCACUUCUUUGGAAAUAUAAUUUUGUCAAAAACCUUGUAUAAACCCAAAAGCUUUGAUCAUCUCAUCAAAGCGUAUAUUCCAACUCCGAGAUGCUUGCACGAGUCCAUAGAAGGAUCGCUGGAGCUUGCAUACUUGUUAGCAUCCUUAGGAUCGACAAAACCUUCUGGUUGUAUCACAUACAACCUUUCCUCAAGGAAACCAUCGACGAAACAAUGUUUUGACAUCCUAUGUGCAAUAUUUCAUAAAUAUUGCAGCAACUGCUAACAUAAUUCCAACAGACUUUUAGCAUCGCUACGAGUGAGAAAGUCUCAUCAUAGUCAACUCUUUGAACUUGUCGGAAACAUCUUUGCGAUAAGUCGAACUUUUCUUAAUGGUGACUUUUCACCAUCAUCGCCUGUCUUCCUUUUAAAUAUCCAUCUUUUACUUCUUACGACCAUCAAGUAGUUCUUCCAAAGUCUACACUUUGUUUUCAUACAUGAAUCCUCUCUCGGAUUUCAUGGCCUCCAGCCAUUUGUCGGAAUCCAGGCCCACCAUCGCUUCUCCAUAGCUCGUAGGUUCAUUGUUGUUCAACAACAUGACCACCAAGACAGGGUUACCGCACCACUCUGUAGUAGUAUGCGACCUUGUCGACCUACGAGAUUUGUAUUAACAUGAUCCGAAGCUUAAUGAUCACCAUCAUCAGUUUCCACUUCAAUUGAUGUAGGCGCCACAGGAACAACUUCCCGCGCCCUGCUACACACUGGUUGAAGUGACGGUUCAAUAAACUCAUCAAGUUCCACCACACUCCUACUCAAUUCUUUUGAGAGAAACUUUUCCUCGAGAAAGGACCCGUUUCUAGAAACGAACACUUUGCUUCCGGACCUGAGAUAGGAGAUGUACCCAACUGUUUUGGAUAUCCUAUGAAGAUGUAUUUAUCCGCUUUGGGUUCAAGCUUAUCAGACUGAAACCUUUUCACAUAAGUGAUACGUCCAUUUUGCAUCAUGUUUUCAUGUUGAUAUUUAUUGCUUCUUGGGAUGUUAUUUCAUUUCACGGUACAAUACGUAUGCCUUUUCUCUCUUAUUUUGCAAGGUUUACAUGAAGAGAGAGAAUGCCGACAGUUGGAAUUCUGGCCUGAAAAAGGAGCAAAGUUGAGAUACCUAUUCUGCGCAACUCCAAACGCCGUAAAAAUCAACGAGGAUUUUUUUUCCGGAUUUAUAAAAAAUACUGGGCCGAAGAAGCGCCACAGGGGCGCCAGCAGGUGGCCACAAGACUGCUUGGCGCGGCCACCCCAUGGUCGGGCCAAGGGGGCUUGUGGGCAGCCUGUUGGACCACUUGCCCCCCUCUUCUGCUAUAUGAAGGGUUUCGUCUAGAAAAAAAUCAGGGAGGAGCUUUUUCGUGGAUUCGCCGCCGCCACGAGGCGGAACUUGAGCAGAACCAAUCUAGAGCUCCGGCAGGAUGGUCCUGCCGGGGAAACUUCCCUCCCGGAGGGGGAAAUCGUCGCCAUCGUCAUCACCAACACUCCUCUCAUCGGAGGGGACUCGUCACCAUCAACAUCUUCAUCAGCACCAUCUCAUCUCCAAACCCUAGUUCAUCACUUGUAACCAAUCUCCGUCUCGCGACUCCAAUCGGUACUUGUAAGGUUGCUAGUAGUGUUAAUUACUCUUUGUAGUUGAUGCGGAUUACUUGGUGGAAGAGUUUAUGUUCAGAUCCUUGAUGCUACUCAUUACCUCUAUGGUCAUGAAUAUGAUUAUGCUUUGUGAGUAGUUAGUUUAGUUCCUGAGGACAUGGGAUACGUGAUGCUAAUAGUAGUCAUCUGAAUUUGGUAUUCGUUUGGUAGUUUGAUAUGUUGUAUGUUGUUUUUCCUCUAGUGGUGUUAUGUGAACGUCGACUACAUAACACGUCACCAUUAUUUGGGCCUAGAGGAAGGCAUUGGGAAGUAGUAAGUAGAUGAUGGGUUGCUAGAGUGACAGAACCUUAAACCCUAGUUUUAUGUGUUGCUUCAUAAGGGGCUGAUUUGGAUCCACUAGUUUAAUGCUAUGGUUAGACUUUGUCUUAAUUCUUAUUUCGUAGUUGCGGAUGCUUGUGAGAGGGGUUAAUCAUAAGUGGGAUGCUUGUCCAAGUAAGGGCAGUACCCCAGCGCCGGUCCACCCACAUAUCAAACUAUCAAAGUAACGAACAUGAAUCAUAUGAACAUGAUGAAAACUAGCAUGACAGAAAUUCCCGUGUGUCCUCGGGAGCGUUUUUCCUCCUAUAAGACUUUGUCCAUGCUUGUCCCUUGCUACAAAAGGGAUUGGGCCACUUUGCUGCACCGUUGCUAUUUUUGUUACUUAUCGCUUGGUACGAAUCAUCUCACCACACAAUCACUUGUUACCGACAAUUUCAGUGCGUGCAGAUUUUACCUUGCUGAAAACCACUUGCCAGAUCCUUCUGCUCCUCGUUGGGUUCGACACUCUUACUUAUCGAAAGGACUACGAUUGAUCCCCUAUACUUGUGGGUCAUCAAUACCCUUUUCUGGCGUCAUUACCGGGGAGUGAAGCACCUUUGGUAAGUGGAACUUUGUUAGGGCAUAUUUAUGCCUAAGUAAUUUUGGUGAUUGAUGACAGUACCGUAAAGGACUAAUCGUGUGCAUUAAGAUUUCAGAUAACACAUGUCAAGGGCACAAGACGACUCGGCCCCCUCCAUGGAACAGAAGCACGGUGUCCUCUACGAUUCUCUUUCUUGAAGUCAUAGGAACGUCGUACUAUUAAGAGGGGACCCGUAGUGGAAAGGUUUGGAUGGAAUCAAUUUUGCACGCACACACUUUAUCUCCUUUCCCUUUCCCUGCAACUUUGGAGUGGUUCCCGCCUCUCGUUUAUCUCAUCUCGCAAAAAGGUCUCCCAGCGGUAGUACCGCUGUCCCUAGCGGUAGUACCACCCCUGGUCAGCGGUAGUACCGCUCCAGAAACUUAGUACCGCCUUCCUAGCGGUUGUACUUCGUCGGACUUUUUGCGAAGACUUUCUUGGCGGUGGUUGGCCCGGUAGUGCUUCUACACUACCACGGGGCCAGCGGUAGUACCGCUGCAGCCUGCGGUAGUACCGCUGGAGUGCUAGCGGUAGUACCGCUGCAGCCAGCGGUAGUAUCGCUAGGCUCGGGCUGUGAGUGGGAAAACGGUUGGAUUUCCCCCCCACUAUAUAAAGGGUUCUUCUUGCUCUAGAACCCUACCUUUGACCCUCCCAAGCUCCAUUGUUGCUCCCUAAGCUCAAAAGUGCUCGAUCUCUCUCCCUAGCCAAUCAAACUUGUUGAUUCUCUAGGGAUUGGUUGAGAAGGCCUAGAUCUACACUUCCACCAAGAGAAAAUUGAUUCCCCCACCAAUCCCUUGCGGAUCUUGUUACUCUUGGGUGUUUGAGCACCCUAGACGGUUGAGGUCACCUCGGAGCCACAUUCCAUUGUUGUCGUGGUUUUGUCAUGGCAGAUGUCCUCGUGAAAGGACUUAAUAUUGGAGCCAUCGCACCUUGGUGGUGACUCAAAGGGGUUAAGCGGGAGAGACACGGCGAUUUACCCAGGUUCGGCCCCUCUGAGGAGGUAAUAGCCUACGUCCUGCUUUUGUGUGUAUUGAUGUGGAUUCGAUUACAAAGGGGGCGUAAUUCGCCAAACCUAGCACUCGAUGAUUUUUAACUUACCCUCUGUCCCCCGGGACUCGCCUUUAUAUACAGGUCGAUCCCCUAGGGUUUACAAGGAUUCUUUCCUUCCUACAACUCGUGACCCCUGCAGUUUCUAAGUCGCCAUCUUCCGAAGCUUGGAGACCUUCCAAGAGCCAUAACCGUCAUAAGACCUUGAUUCGGCCAAAACGAGGCCCAACUAAAUGUUUGGGUGAAUCGCCCAAUGGAUAACCCGGCCCAACUAGGGGUCAGCUCGCCAGGGGCGGUUCUCCAACCAAUAGUUUCCUUACUGUCGAGGAGACCCGCCUUAACGAAUUUCUCGAGCAUAACAUCGUCGACUUUGGUUGGCAACCAAUCACACCUCGUAAUGGCCAUGACUAGAAAAAACGGAGUAUGGGGCGACUCAGUAAAAGACUAGAGUAUAUUCUAAUCCGCUGGUACGGGUUUAUGGUGUUCGCAAAAGGUUUUGUUAACCCGCCAAAAUAUUCUAACCCGCUGGUACGGGCCUAUGGUGUUCAUAAAGGGUUUGUUAACUCGCCAAAUAGUUGACGUGCAUCGUAGCCCGUUAUUUGGGUGAUCUACGAGUAUAUCUUCGGGGGUUGUUCUAACUCGCCCUCCAGACUGGAAGAAAGGGCAUCCUCGCUACAGUAAAGAAACUAAGUCUCUAUGAAGGCUGAUGUUAAAUGGCGACUCUCAGAAGUGUUCUUUUCCUUAGAGAUAUUCUCAACAGGUGAAUGAACAUAUUUCUACAGACAGGCGGUAAAUUAUGGAUCUACGGACAGAUUAAAAUAGGAAGAUAUCGCGUGAAAUAAUGGUGAUGAACUACACAUGUAGUAGAACUACAGUGUUGGUCAAUAGUACAUGGGUUUAAACUGGCAGGAGGACGUGAUUAAAAUGGCCGACGCCUGUUGCUAUCUAAAGCCAAUUACUGGAGCAGGGAAUAGAUCUAAAACAGUUCGAGGUGUUCAUCAUGUUGUGGAGCUAGCUCGCAAGGAAACUACAGUCAUGGCGUUCUCGGUCUAAACCUAAGAGGGGGAAGGUGUGUACUUGUCAAUAGGAGAUCGCCGCCGGGAACGAAGGCUCGGAGCUUCGUGUUCCUUGGCACCCGAAGAGUCGCGGUCGAUGGAGAAAAACUCUAGGAGCCGGGGACGACGCCGGGGCGCUAGAGCUCGGAGACGGUGCCGGGGUGUCGGUGCGCGGAGACGAAGAGCACAGGGAAGACGAAGACGAAGACAAAGACGAAGAUGAGAUGGGGGUUGGUGACGGGGCUUCUCUCCCCCCAUUUCUCUUAUUAUUUAAAGGGCAGGAACGGAAAACGAGGCUAUCAAGGCGGAGAUCGAGGCGACAAGUCAGUGAACGCAAUAAUGGCCCCUAGAUUUUCAGGAUAAGCAAUUAUGGGCGAAAGAUUCGUUGACGGUUACAGUGUUUGGGGACUGGAAGCAAGGGGAUGAGGUACCACCCUUUAAUAUUCUAUGGCAACUCAGGUUAAGUACCACGGAUGGCGGCUCAACGUUCGCCGAAGGCCGGAAAUGAGGAGAGUCGCCCCAAGAUUGAUGGGAGCUUAUUGACACGGAUGAAUUCGCGACAAUCUCGGGCCUAAUGUUGGGGAUAUUACGUGUGGGUAACCCGACCUUAAUGGGCCAGGUCACCAAAGGGGAAACUCACCUUUGAUUAUGCGUCCAGUGGCCCAGGAAUUGUAGGGCGGUUCAAAAAGACCAUGUGGCUGAUGGAAAAUCAAGGAAGCUCCUGAUCGUGGGGAACACGACGACUUAGAGAUAAGGAAAGCUACCAAGAGUAGGAUGGCAGGACUUUGUAAACCCUAGGGCCCCGACCUGUAUAUAAAGGUGAGUCCCAGGGAAAGAUCAGUCGAGUUAGAGAGAAUCGAGAGCUAGGUCAGGCGAGUUACGCCCUCCUUGUAAUCGAAACCACCAUUAAUCCACACAAAGCAGGACGUAGGCUUUUACCUCCUCACGAGGGGCUGAACCUGGGUAAAUCUGAGUCUCGCUUUCGCUCACCCCCUUUGAAUCGCCACCAAGGUGUGAUGGCUCCAUCUUUAAGUCCUUUCACGAGGACAUCUGCCGUGAUAAAACCACGACAAUAUAGAUAAAUACUAGAUACACAAUAUUUUAUAGAAUAUUUGUUUCAAUAUUAUAUCAUCAAGGUGGUUAUACAUUAUUGACUCUAAUGCAAGUGGGAGACUAUUGGAAAUAUGCCCUAGAGGCAAUAAUAAAUUGGUUAUUAUCAUAUUUCCUUGUUCAUGAUGAUCAUUUAUUAUCCAUGCUAGAAUUGUAUUGAUCGGAAACUCACAUACAUGUAUGGCUAUAUAGACAAACAUUGUGUCCCUAGUGAGCCUCUAGUUGACUAGCUCGUUGAUCAAAGAUGGUCAAGAUUUCUUGAACAUAGACAUGAGUUGUCAUUUGAUAAUGGGAUCACAUCAUUAGGAGAAUGAUGUGAUGGACAAGACCCAAACUAUGAAUGUAGCAUAUGAUCGUGUCAGUUUAUUUCUAUUGUUUUCUGCAUGUCAAGUAUGUGUUCCUAUGACCAUGAGAUCAUGCAACUGACUCCCACUAGAGGAGUACCUUGUGUGUAUCAAACGUCGCAAUGUAACUAGGUGACUAUAAAGAUGCUCUAUAGGUAUCUUCGAGGGUGUGUGUUAAGUUGGCAUGGAUCAAGACUGGGAUUUGUUACUCCGUGUGACAGAGAGGUAUCUCAGGGCCCACUCGAUAAUGCGACAUCAUAAUGAGCUUGCAAGAAAAGUGACUAAAGUGUUAGCCACGAGAUCUUUUAUUACGGAACGAGUAAAGAGACUUGCCAGUAACGAGAUUGAACUAGGUAUGGAGAUACCAACGAUCGAAUCUCGGGCAAGUAACAUACCGAUUAACAAAGGGAACUGGGUACAAGAUUAACUGAAUCCUUGACAUCAUGGUUUGAUCAAUACAUAUCUUCAUAGAAUAUAUAUGAACCAAUAUGGGCAUUUAGGUCCCGCUAUUGGUUAUUGGCCGUAGAGGUGUAUCGGUCAUGUCUACAUAGUUCUCGAUCCCGCAGGGUUUACACACUUGACGUUUGGUGACGAUAUAAGUAUAAUCCAGUUGUUAUGUUGGUGACCGAAGGUUGUUUGGAGUCCGAGAUGAGAUCCCGGAUGUGAUGAGGAACUCCGGAAUGGUCCGGAGGUGAAGAUUGAUAUAUAGGUUGAAUGGCAUCGGAGUACGAAAGUAUUCUGGGGCAUACACGGGAUUCGACGGAGUAUCGAAAGGGGUUUCGGGGGGCUCCGACAAGUGUUGGGGGGCCUCACGGGCCAAGGAGAGGGGACGCACCAGCCGACAAGGGGUCGGGUGCCGCCCAAACCCCAACCCACUCGGCUAGGAGGGGGCCCACACUCUCCAGGGGUCGUCGGCCACCCCAACUUGGGAGGCAAGGCCCCUUGGGGUGGGGCACCCAAACCCUAGCCGCCCCCUUGGCCGCCGGCCCCUAGGGGAAACCCUAGGGCGUCCUCCCAUCCUCCCUUCCCCCUAUAUAUAGAAAGGGUGAGAGAGGGAAGCCACAUCACAACGUGCCACGACGCUCCUCCUCCCCUCCCUCGUAGUUCUUCUCCUCUCCAUAUCGCAUGGCGAAGCCCUGCUGAGCUGGCACCACCACCACCUCACCACGUCGUGGUGCUACCGGAGGACUCGGGCUACCACUUCACCAUCACUCGUUGGAUCGAGGAGGUGAAGGCUUCAUCAAGCUGUACGUGUGUUGAAUGCGGAGGUGUCGUCCAUUCAGCACUUGAUCGGGAGUUCUCGGGACGGAUCAUGAUUGGACCGCGAAGACAUUCGACUACAUCAACCGUGUUUCUUAACUAUUCUUUUUAGAGAUCUACAAGGGUAUGUAGAUGCUAUCUCUCCUCUGGUAUAUGUUCAUCUCCUAGAUUGAUCUCGAUGAGUGUAGGAAUUUUUUUGUUUUCCCAUGCAACAUUCCCCAAUAGUGGUAUCAGAGCUAGGUCUUGCGUUGAUGACAUCACGAGUAGAACACAAAGAAGUUUGUGGGCGUUGAUAUUCAGAUUGCUUCCUUCCUUAGUCUUUUCUUGAUUUGUCGGUAUUGUGGAAUGAAGCGGCUCAAACCAACCUUACUCAUCCACGUACGCGAGACUGGUUCCAUCGGCUGACAUGCAACUUGUUGCAUAAAGAUGGCUGGCGGGUGUGUGUCUCUCCCACUUUAGUUGAAUAUGAUUUGACGAAGGCGGUCCUUGUAGAAGUUUGAUUAGCAAUUUGUAUAUCACCAUUGUGUUUUUUUUGUAGGUAAGAAUCGUUCUUGGUAGAUACCCAUAGCAGCCACGUAAAACAUGCAAAUAACAAAUUAGAGGGUGUCUAACUUGUUUUUGUAGAGUAUGUUGUGAUAUGAUAUGGCCAAAGACAUGAUGAAAUAUAUUUGAUGUAUGAGAUGAUCAUGUUUUGUAAUAGUUAAUAUCGACUUGCAUGUCAAUGCAUACAGCAACCAGAAGGAGCCAUAAGGUUGUCUUUAAUUAUUGUAUGACAUGCGUGUUAAUCUGUAAAGCGCCAUGUAAUGCUUUACUUCAUUGCUAAACGGUAGCAAUAGUAGUAGAAGCAUGAUUGGCGCGACAACCUCGAUGGAAACACAAUGAUGGAUAUCAUGAUGUCAUGUCGACGACGAUGGAGAUCAUGUCAGUGCUUUGGAGAUGGAGAUCAAAAGACAAGUUCAUGGCCAUAUCAUGUCACUUAUGAUUUGCAUGUGAUUUUAAUCCUUUUAUGCAUCUUAUUUUCUUAGGACCAUGGUAGCAUUAUAAGGUGAUCCCUCACUAAAAUUUUAAGAUAAAAUUGUGUUCUCCCUGAGUGUGCACCGUUGUGAAAUCUCAUCAUUUUGAAGCACCACAUGAUGACCGGGUGUGAUAGACUCUACGUUCGCAUACAAUGGGUGCAAGCCACUUUUUCACAUGCAGAAUACUCGGGUUAAACUUGAUGAGCCUAGCAUGUACAAACAUGGCCUCAGAACACAAGAAACCGAAAGGUAGAACAUGAGUUAUAUAAUACAUAUGAUCAACAUUGAGGUGUUCACCACUGAAACCACCCCAUCUCACGUGACGAUCAGACUUGGGUUGGUGAAUUUGGAUCAUGUAACACUCGGAUGAUUGUGGGAUGACAAUUUGAGUGGGAGUUUUAAGUAAUAUGAUUAUCUAAACACAUUAUCUAGAACAUAGUCACUAGUAGAAAACACGGCUUUGGUCCACUUGAUGAAAUCCCAUUAGUCCCGGUUCACUCAUGAACCGGGACCCAUGGGGGCACCGGUCUCGGUUCGUGAGGCCAGGGCGCCGGCUGGGCCUCGUGGGCCAUUGGUCCCGGUUCGUAUGACCCCUUUGGUCCCUGUUCCCAACAUGAACCGGGACCAAUGUGCGUCGCUCCUGGCCCACAACCAUUGCUACCAGUUUGUGGCUGGAACCGGGACCAAAAGUUGAACUUUAGUCUCGGUCCAGCCACAAACCGGGACCAAUGGUUGGCCUAUAUAUACCCCCUGCCCGCGAGCAAAGCAGUGCACUGCUCUGUUUUUGUUGGCCGGCCGUGGGAGAGCUUUGUGGUGCUCUAUCUCACCUCAUAUGCACAUGAGGUGUUUGAUGAAAUGCCCGAGCCACACUUAAGCUUUCUCCUCUCGAAUCUCCUUGUCCAAGCUCCAUUUUCCUCAAGUUUUGUGUAGCUUUGGCGGCCUGUCCUCUCCCGUCCCCGUCCUCACCGCCGUCGAUCGCCCGCGCCCAUCUCGGCGCUGACACCAUCGUGGUUAGUCUCUUCUUCUUAUAUUCUUUCUAAAAGAAUAAAGUUCUUACUUGUAUGAUUUAGAUACAUACUUAUGUAAUUUUCUUACUUUUAUUAUUGGUUGUUAUUAUAUAGUGCGAUGGUUUUGGUAUCCGCCUCCGUCGGCCCUCGUCCUGUCUAUGCUUCGGAUGUGGUAUAUAUUAUCUUUUAUAACUAUUUGUUUUAUUUAGUGUUUAUGCGAAUUAUGCCGACCAAAGUGACAUAUAUUUUUUUAUCUAGAAGUUAAAUUUGGUUGAAAAAGAAAACAGUUACUUGAAAGAAAAUUUACAAAGAGUUGAAGAAGAAGUUGAUAUUGGAGUUGGAUGUUGCCGAUGUCGUCGACGAUCACAAGAUCAAGAUGGAUGCAAUGCGCUUGAAGAUUAGAAAGAUUAGAAAAUAUGCCAUUCAUAGUGAGGCUUGGUAUCAUUAUGUCGUUGGAUCAAUUGGUAACUUAGUUGCGUUUAUGAUUGCAUUUGUUGUUGCAUUUAAAUUUUAUAGUUUCAAUGUACGUUCUAAUUAGAUGCUGUGGAGAGCUAUAUGUUGUUCAAUAAUGAGAACUAUGUAUGAACGUUAUGUAUUUAUUUUGGUCACUACUAUACUUUGGCUUUAAUGUGAUGACGAAUUUCUAUUAAUUUGGUCACUUCUCUAUUCAUGAUAUGUUGUAAUAUUUUUUAAUACACUUUAUUAUAUAACACACGCAGAUGAACCGACAAUGGAUGUAAGGUGGCCGACACACCUCCAAGAGCCUGCAUAAUUUUCUCGAAGUGGCUGAGGCAAACAAGCAGAAUGGUUUUAUCCAUUGUCCAUGUAUUGUCUGUGGGAAUACGAAGGCUUUCUCCGACUAUAAAACCCUUCACUUUCACCUGCUUCAGAAGGGUUUUAUGCCACACUAUAAUGUUUGGAUCAAGCACGGAGAAAGAGGGGUUAUGAUGGAAGACAAUGUAGAAGAAGAGGAUGAUGACAACUACCCGCCCCCUGAAUACGGUUAUGAAGCAAUGGGGGAAGCUCAAGAUCAAGAGGAACCAGACAAUGUGCCCAAUGAUGAUCUUUGUCGGGUCAUUGUUGAUGCACAUAGAGAAUGCGAAAGUGAAAGGGACAAGCUGAAGUUCGAUCGCAUGUUAGAGGAUCACAAAAAAGGGUUGUACCCAAGUUGCGAAGAUGAUAACACAAAGCUCGGUACCACACUUGAAUUGCUGCAAUGGAAGACAGACAAUGGUGUAUCUGACAAGGGAUUUAGUUCGCUACUGAAAAUAAUGAAGAAGAAGGUUCCAAAGGAUAACGAAUUGCUCGAUAGUACGUACGAAGCAAAGAAGGUUCUAUGCCCUCUAGGAUUGGAGGUGCAGAAGAUACAUGCAUGCCCUAAUGAGUGCAUCCUCUACCGCGGUGCGUAUGAGGAUUUGAACGCAUGCCCGGUAUGCGGCGCAUUGCGGUAUAAGAUCAGAAGAGAUGACCAUGGUGAUGUUGAGGGCCAGCGCACCGGGAAGAUGGUUCCUGCCAAGGUGAUGUGGUAUUCUCCUAUAAUACCACGGUUGAAACGUCUGUUCAGAAACAAAAAGCAUGCUGAGUUGAUGCAAUGUCACAUAAAAUACCGUAAGAAAGACGAGAAGUUGAUAACACACGCUGACGGGUCGUAGUGGAGAAAGAUCGAGAGAAAGUGGAGCAACUUUACACGUGACCCAAGGAAUGUAUGGUUUGGUUUAAGUGCAGAUGGCGUUAAUCCUUUUGGGGAGUAGAGCAGCAAGCAUAGCACAUGGCCUCUGACUCUAUGUAUGUAUAACCGUCCUCCUUGGUUGUGCAUGAAGCGGAAGUUCAUUAUGACAUUGACAUUGAUGUGUACCUAAGGCCAUUAGUUGAUGAACUUUCACAGCUAUGGAAUGGAAAUGGUGUACAUGUGUGGGAUGAGAACAAACAUGAGGAAUUUGACCUACAUGCGUUGCUGUUUGUAACCAUCAACAAUUGGCCUGCUCUUAGUAACCUUUCAGGACAGACAAACAAGGGAUACAACACAUGCACACACUAUUUAGAUGACACCGACAAUAUGUAUUUGGACAAAUGCAGGAAGAAUGUUGAUACGUCCAUUUUGCAUCAUUCUUUCAUGUUGAUAUUUAUCGCUUUAUGGGCUAUUAUUACACUUCACGGUACAAUACUUAUGCCUUUUCUCUCUUAUUUUGCAAGGUUUACAUGAAGAGGGAGAUUGCCGGCAGCUGGAAUUCUGGCCUGAAAAAGGAGCAAGUUUGAGAUACCUAUUUUGCGCAACUCCAAAAAGCCGUGAAAAUCAACAAGGAUUGUUUUGGAAUUCAUAAAAAAUACUGGGCCGAAGAAGUACUAGAGGGGAGCCAGCAGGAGGCCACAAGCCUGCUAGGUGCGGCCUCCCCUGGCCGCGCUUAGGGGGCUUGUGGGCUCCCUGGUGCCCCUCUAGCCCCCCUCUUUUUCUACAAGAAGGGUUUCGUUCCAGAAAAAAUCAAGAGGAGGCUUUCGGGAGGAAUCGCCGCCGCCACGAGGCGGAACUUGAGCAGAACCAAUCUAGACCUCCGGAAGGGUCGUCCUGCCGGGAAAACUUCCCUCCCGGAGGGGGAAAUCGUCGCCAUCGUCAUCACCAACACUCCUCUCAUCGGACAGGACUCAUCACCAUCAACAUCUUCAUCAGCACCAUCACAUCUCCAAACCCUACUUCAUCUCUUGUAACCAAUCUCUGUCUCGCGACUCCGAUUGGUACUUGUAAGGUUGCUAGUUGUGUUAAUUACUCUUUGUAGUUGAUGCUAGUUGGAUUAUUUGGUGGAAGAUUAUAUGUUCAGAUCCUUGAUGCUAUUCAUUACCUCUCUGGUCAUGAGUAUGAUUAUGCUUUGUGAGUAUUCACUUUUGUUCCUGAGGACAUGGGAUACGUCAUGCUAUAAGUAAUCAUGUGAAUUUGGUAUUCGUUCGAUAUUUUGAUGUGUUGUAUGUUGUUUUUCCUCUAGCGGUGUUAUGUGAACGUCGACUACAUAACACUUCACCAUUAUUUGGGCCUAUAGGAAGGCAUUGGGAAGUAGUAUGUAGAUGAUGGGUUGCUAGAGUGACAGAAGCUUAAACCCUAGUUUAUGCGUUGCUUCGUAAGGGGCUGAUUUGGAUCCACUAGUUUAAUGCUAUGGUUAAAAUUUGUCUUAAUUCUUCUUUCGUAGUUGCGGAUGCUUGCGAGAGGGGUUAAUCAUAAGUGGGCGGUUUGUCCAAGUAAGGGCAGCACCCAAGCACCGGUCCACCCACAUAUCGAACUAUCAAAGUAGCGAACGCGAAUCAUAUUUACAUGAUGAAAACUAGCUUGACAGAAAUUCCCAUGUGUCCUCGGGAGAGCUUUACCUCCUAUAAGAGUUUGUUCAAGCUUGUCCCUUGCUACAAAAGGGAUUGGGCCACUUUGCCGCACCUUUGUUACUAUUGCUACUUGUUACUUGCUACUUGCUACGAAUCAUCUUAUCACACAACUACUUGUUACCGAUAAUUUCAGUGCUUGCAGAGAUUACCUUGUUGAAAACCACUUAUCAGAUCCUUCUGCUCCUCGUUGGGUUCGACACUCUUACUCAUAGAAAGGACUAUGAUAGACCCCCUACACUUGUGGGUCAUCAAAUGUGUACCUCGGACAUCAUCGAUUUAUUCCGACCAACCAUCAAUGUUGAAACAAAGGAAAAGAUUUCAAAGGUGAGGGAGAUCACCGGAAGAAGCCCGCCCUCCGUACUGGUGAUCACAUACUUGAUAUGGUUAAUGAUUUACAUGUAAUCUUUGGAAAGGGUCCUAGCGGACUAUCUGUUCCGAAUGACGAUGCAGGACGCGCACCCAUGUGGAAGAAGAAAUCUAUAUUUUGGGACCUACCCUAUUCGAAAGACCCAGAGGUCUGCUAUGCAAUCGACGUGAUGCACGUGACGAAGAAUCUUUGCGUGAACCUUGUAGGAUUCUUGGGAGUGUAUGGGAAGACAAAAGAUACACCGGAGGCAUGGGAGGAACAUCAACGUGUACAUGAAAAAUACGGCAUGCAUCCAAAGCAAUAUGAAGGUCCUGCUAGCUACACUCUUACCAAAGAAGAGAAGGGAAUCUUCUUUGAAUGCCUGCUCAGUAUGAAGGUCCCCUCUAGCUUCUCGUUGAAUAUACACGGAAUAAUAAAUAUGGUAGAGAAAAAGUUCCAGAACCUAAAGUCUCAUGACUGCCACGUGAUUAUGAUGCAACUGCUUCCGGUUGCAUUGAGGGGGCUUCUAACAGAAAACGUUCGAUUAGCCAUUGUGAAGUUAUGUGCAUUCCUCAAUGCAAUCUCUGAGAAGGUGAUCGAUCCAGAAAUCCUGCCAAGGAUAAGGAGUGAUUUUGUGCAAUGUCUUGUUAGUUUCGAGCCGGUGUUCCCACCAUACUUCUUCAAUAUCAUGACGCACGUCCUAGUUCAUCUAGUCGGCGAGAUUUUCAUUCUAGGCCGUGUAUUUCUACACAAUAUGUUCCCCUUUGAGAAGUUCAUGGGAGUCUUAGAGAAAUAUGUUCCUAACUACGCUAGGCCAGAAUGAAGCAUCCUCAUGGGCCAUCAAACAGAGGAUGUCAUUGGGUUUUGUGUUGACUUCAUUCCUGACCUUAAGAAGAUUGGUCUCCCUCAAUCGCGGUAUGAGGGGAGAUUGACUGGAAAAGGCACCCUAGGAGCAGACUCAAUAAUAUGUAUGAACGGGCAUUCUUGGUCUCAAGAACACUACACAGUUCUACAGAAUUCUACCAUGGUGACCUCGUAUGUAGAUGAACACAAGAAUAUUUUGCGCUCCAAACACCCGGAGCAGUGUGACGACUGGAUUACAUAUGAACACAUCAUGACUUUUGGCAGUUGGUUGCAAAAACGUCUCAUGGGUGACAACACUGUUUCUGAUGAGCUAUACUCGUUGGCCAGGGGACCAUAUUGGACCAUAGUGACUUACUAAGGGUACGAGAUAAAUGGGAAUACAUUUUACACGAUCGCCCAAGAUCAAAAGAGCACCAAGCAAAACAGCGGUGUCCGCUUUGAUGCAGGAAACACCAACAGGGGAAAGGACACAUAUUAUGGUUACAUAGUGGACAUAUGGGAACUUGACUAUGGACAUGAUUUCAAGGUCCUUUGUUUCAGUGCAAAUGGGUGAAUCUGUCACGAGGCAGGGUACAGAUAGACCCACAGUACGGAAUAAUCAACAGUGGAUCUGAACAAUCUUGGGUACACAGACGAACCAUUUGUCCUACCCAAUCAUGUGGCGCAGGUUUUGUAUGUGAAGGACAUGUCUACCAAACCGAGAAGAAGAAAAUAUAAGGCAUCGAAUACAUCAUACGAUGAGCCAAAGCGCCACAUAGUUCUUUCAGGAAAAAGAGACAUCGUGGGAUUGGAGGGCAAGAUAGACAUGCCUGAAGAUUAUGAAAAGUUUCAUGAAAUUCCUCCCUUCAAAGUCAAGGCUCACCGAAGCACCCUGUUAAAGAUCAAGAUUAUCCACGGUUACGGCGCAAUAAGCAAAGGACACAAGCGAAGAAAAAGUGAAGAAAUGAAAUGCCUUUUGUAACAGAUGAGUUUUCAUAUGAAACCAUGAUACUUUGAAACAGUUUGUCCGAUUUGUACACGAAGUGCAUCCAGUUUUUGUCGUAACCCUCUCAACUUUUUAGCACAUGCUAUGUGGGUGAAAUGAUAAUACCAUGCCCACUUUCAACCUUUUCAGAGUUCAUUUGUAGUGCUUUUCAAUUUCAUGAUCAUUUAGCUCAAAACAAUCAGUAAAUGCAUGAAAAACACCAAACGAAGUCAGAAAUUGUUGAAAAUUGAUGAUGUGGCUUUGAAUGGUGCAUUUUGAACACACAAAAAAGUCUGGAGUUCAAAUAAGUUCAAAAAAGGAGACCCCUUUGUAACAGAUGAGUUUUCGUAUGAAACCCUAAUACUUCGAAAGAGAUUGUCCGUAUUGUACACGAAGUGCAUCCAGUUUUUUCCGUAACCCUCUCAACUUUUUGGCACAUGCUAUGUGCGUGAAAUUAUGAUAUCAUGCCAACUUUCAACAUUUUUAGAGUUCAUUUGUAGUGCUUUUCAAUAUCAUGGCCAUUUAGCUCAAAUUUUUUAGUAAAUGCAUGAAAAAUACCAAAUGAAGUCAGAAAUUGUUGAAAAUUGAUGAUGUGGCUUUGAAUGGUGCAUUUUGAAUACACAAAAAGUCUGGAGUUGAAAUAAAUUCAAAAAAAUGAAAUCUCUUUGUAACAGAUGAGUUUUCGUAUGAAACCGUGAUACUUCGAAGGAGAUUGUCCGUUUUGUACACGAAGUGCAUCCAGUUUUUUCCGUAACCCUCUAAACUUUUGAGCACAUGCUACAUGGAUGAAAUGAUGAUACCAUGCCAACUUUCAAUAUGUUCAAAGUUCAUUUGUAGUGAUUUUCAAUUUAAGGGUCAUUUAGCUCAAAAAAAUGAGUAAAUGCAUGAAAAACACCAAAUGAAGUCAGAAAUUGUUGAAAAUGGAUGAUGUGGCUUUGAAUGGUGCAUUUUGAACAUACAAAAAGUCUGGAGUUCAAAUAAGUUCAAAAAAUGAAAUCCAUUUGUAACAGAUGAUUUUCGUAUGAAACCCUCAUACUUCGAAAGAGAUUGUCCGUUUUGUACACGAAGUGCAUCCAGUUGUUGCCGUAACCCUCUCAACUUUUUAGCACAUGCUAUGUGGGUGAAAUGAUGACACCAUGCCAACUUUCAACCUUUUCAGAGUUCAUUUGUAGUUCUUUUCAAUUUAAGGGUCAUUUAGUUCAAAAAAAUCUGUAAAUGCAUGAAAAAUACCAAAUGAAGUCAUAAAUUAUUAAAAAUUGAUGAUGUGGCUUUGAAUGGUGCAUUUUGAAAAAAAUUGUGACCUAAAAGCAAAAAGAAUCACUGAAAAACAGUAAGUAGGAACAGAAUAAAAUAAAUAAAGUAAAGACAAAACAAAAAAACUAGAUUUUUUUAAAUGCCACUUACUUAGCAACCACGACAAUAAUACGACUAGAAACCCAACCAACUGGUUGGGCCAUGAUUCACGCUCGCACAAGGCCCAAUAGGCCCACAGGUAGUGGUAGAUUAGGCCCGGAAACCUACAUUGAGAGGAGGUCGACAGGGUGUGCACAACAGCGCUUAUAAACCACCCGCGAGCUCUCUCAGUUAGCGAGGUGGGACUAAAAAUUUGGCCUCGAGCAACACCACACUUAGGUCUCGGUUGGUGGUUCAAACCGGCACCAAUACCACCCUUUCGUCCCGGUUGGAGCCACCAACCGGUACUAAAGGUCUCUUCUUCCCGCCCUUUUGGGCUGCUGAAAAUUGACCAUUAGUCCCGAUUCGUGGCUCCAACCGGGACGAAAGGGUGGCAUUGGUCCCGGUUUCAGCCACCAACCGGAACCAAAGGUGUUCGCAUAUAUGGCGGGACUUACCGAAAUUUCCACCAACUCCCAUUUCCCCCGUUCUAUUCUCUCCUGUUGUCUCCGUCGCCCCCGAGCCCGUUGGCGCCGGCCCGCACCUCCUCGACGAGCCCAUCGUCGUUGUCGCCGUCGCCCCCGAGCCCGUCACCGCCGCCGUCGUCCCGAGCCCGUCGUCGCCGUCGCCGUCGCCCCGAGCCCAUAGCCGUCGUCGUCGCCGCCCCGGAGCCCAUCGCAGUCGCCGUCGCCCCGAGCCCGUCAUCACCUUGAGCCCAUCGCCGUUGCUGUCUCCCCCGAGCCCAUCGUCGUCGUCAUCGCCCCGAACCCAUCGCCGUCGUCGUCGUCCCCGAGCCCAUCGCCAUCGCUGUCGCCCCCGAGCCCGUCGUUGCUGCCCCAAGCCCGUCGCCGCCGCCCGCGCCUCCUCCCCGUGCCCGUCGUCAUCAUCGCCCGCACCACCCCGAGCUGACGCUAUGUAAAUAUUCACUAUGCAUUUUGUACAUUUUCAAAUACUCUCUAUGUACAUUUUUAUGUACAUUUCUUUAUGUAUAAGAAUAUCAUGAUAGAUGAUUCUAGUUUAUGAUUAUACAUAAACAAAUAGUAAAAUAGGACUCAUGUCUACUCCAUGAUUGGUACCAAAAUAGGACUCCUAUAGCUAAGAUGACAUUUAGUACAACAUAUUUGGUAUGGGUCUUGGGAAAAAAUUGAACGUUGUUGGAUCAUGUUCUAUUGCUAACCGAUUUUGGUGAUACCCCUCCAAGUAGUGACGAGACACGGUUCAAAUUUGAGUCCCUGACUUGUUAGCCACGAAAUUAUAGAAUAUGUGACUUUCAGUGAUUCCUUCAUGGAUGAACUAAACACACCCCUCCAAGUAGUGAUGAGACACGGUUUUUUGUUCAUAGAAGAAAGUUUUUUGUUUGUAGAAGAAAGUUUUUUGUAUAGAAUCCGUUGUUUAACUUUCAUGAGAGAGGCGGUCUGGACGUCAGACAUUCAUGUUUGUAUACUAAUUGCCAUGUUGUAAUAUUUGUAGAAACUAUGGAUCCAAGAAACUUGGAACAAGAACAGUUGUUGGGUGGGAUAAUCCACGACGGAGCUGAGAUCUCUUUGUAUCUCAACGACACCAAUGGUCUGGAAGGAGAGGAUGAUGGAUCCGAUGAUCGAGCAAUGGAGGAGGAAGGACACGAUCAUGACGGCUCCGGUGACCGAAUGCCAGAGGAAGAAGGAGACCAUGAUGACGACUCCGAUGACCGAACGGAGGAGGGAGCUGUUGCAAAGUCCGGAAUGAGCCAAACCUCGGUUACAAGACGAGGCCCGAAGAGAAGGUUGCACAAGGAUGAAAAGUUCACGAUCACACCACUCGGGGACGAUGCCCUACCGAUUCUACCCAAGCGAACCAAGGACGCAUUUUCUGCUCCGUGCAGAGCUAUUGUUAGGGACCACAUCCCGAUCAGCAUCAAGCAAUGGAAUAAGCCUAAGGGCGAUGACGUCCGUGAAGGUGAUUAUGUCACCGACAGGCGAAAAGAUGAUCUUUGGACCGCGCUGAAGGAAAAUUUCACCCUACCGCCGGAGGAGGAUCCGAAUAAGCCAGUUAUAGAGCCACUGGUCAAGGCGUGUGCUCUUAAGAAGAUGGCAGAUCUAUUCAGGAGGUGGAAGAAGGAGUUGAAAUCAAAGUUUGUCGACAAAGGGAAGACUCCAGAAUUCAUAGGUCGAUUUGAGAAGAUGAGAGAUCACUGGCCCGCAUUUGUGGCCUACAAGACAUCGGAAAAGAGUAAGAAAAUAUCAGAGACAAACAAGAACAAUGCUGGAAAGAAGCAGCAUCACCAUCACACGGGGUCAGGUGGCUACCUCAAAGCCCGUCCAUUGUGGAACAAAGCUGAGAAUGGCCUGAUUGCUAAAGGGGUCGAACCACAGACAUUUAACUGGCCAGACCGUUCAAGGACUUGGUUCUUCGGGGUUGGGGGAAGUUUGGACCCUGAAACAGGGAAGUGCCAUUGGACAAACGAGAAACUUGCAAUACCCAUCAACAAGCUUCACAAGUGUAUCACCACAGCACAGGACGGGACGUUCAUUCCUGACAGGGAGAAGGACGAGUUGACUGAGGCCCUAGGGAGUGCUGAGCACCUUGGACGAACACAUGGGACACCAGGCUCCGUUCCGUGGAAGGUUGGGUUUCUCGACGUAGGAGGUUACAGAAGCCGGGAGAGAAAGAGGAAAGCGGAGCUGAGCGACAUGCAGAAGAUCCAAGCAAGACUACAAAAGCUAGAGGAACUUGAGAGUGAGCGAGCUGCCGGCCAACCAUCUCAACGGCACGAAGCUACCCCAGAAGCUACUCCGCCAUCUCAGUGGAGAAGCAGCGUGGCUUCCAUGGAGCUCGUUCAACAUGACUUCACGGCUCCUAGCUACCCCGUGGAUACUAUGACGGAGGCUCAACAUUGCGAGCUUAUCAUGAAAUGUCGGAACCUCACUUUCAAGGCUGUUAUCGGCUCUGUUGCACCUCCUCAACCCAACGAAACUUUUCACUGCCUUCCGAUUCCACAUGGCUUUUCUAUUGUGAUGGUGGAUGAAGUAAUGGAUGGAUUUGAGGAGCUCGAGCUUGACCACCCUACAGGUGAAGGGGAGAAUAAGCUGGUUCAUGCUGUGAGGAGUACAUGUCUAUGGUAGAAGGAGUACAUCAAGCUUCCAAACUGGACGCCUCCGCUUCCUCCUCCUCCUCCUGCGAGUCAGGGCACUCCGCCUCCUCCUCCUCAUCCUUCUCCGACGAGUGAUCAGGGCACUCCGCCUCCUCCUCCUCCUCCUCUGGCGAGUGAUCAGGGCACUCUGCCUCCUCCUCCUCCUCCAGCGAGUCAGGGCACUCCGCCUCGUCCUCCUCCUCCUCCGGCGAGUGAUCAGGGCACUCCUCCUCCUCCUCCUCCUCCUUCUCUCAAGCGGAAGAGAGACACCACCACUCCGGCGGCUAGCAGUGAUGCAAGGUUAGCAAAACAAAGAAGUGGGAAAACAAUUCCCCAGCUCGGCCAACAAGAGAAGCAAUCGUGUCCCCCGCUCAAGGUGUCUAGCGAUAUCAUCGUCGCUAAUCAUCCGGGGAUGGUUCCCGGUACCAAUCCUGAUGAUUACUUGGAGGAUGAUGUAAUUUUUGAAACAUCUGAAGUAAAAAAAGAAAAAUAUAAAUACGUGCACGGGAAGCCUCUCGUCAAACCUGGUCAUCCUCCUCUAACACCGAUGAUGCACAAAUUGCAUGAGUGGUACAUGAAAACCUGCAUGGAGUCUGGGAAAGACACUAUCUAUAUGACAGUGAAACCAGAUCACGAAUUCAUUGGAGCUCUAGUGAUGCCGAUUGAAUUUGUGGAAUUAUUUCAGUUAUACAAUCAACUGGCCCUCGACAAACAAUUCUUGACUUCCUACUAUUUGUAAGUAUUACUUCUAUAUUUAAGUCUCUAGCUCAGCUCAUUCAUUGCAUGUAUAUACAAUUAUCCUCACUAUAUAUAUUAUGCAGAUUGAAGAUUGUCGAAUUAAAAAAAGCAGGAAUCUUUGACGUUGGUUUCAUUAGCCCAGAUUCCGUAAAUGAAUGGUAGGUACGAAAAUCAAUCAAAGAGACUGAGGACAACUUGCUAAAGUCAUUCCUUAUAAAUCAAAACAAAAGGGAAAUACUCUUUCCUUACAACUUCAAGUGAGUGUUGCUGUAUUCUCUGUAUACUCGGUUUCGCUUACUCGAGGUUAAGUAAUGUAAUUGAUGAGUUAUAUAUGCGUGUGGAGUUACCACUUUAUUCUGCUAUCCAUUAAGCUUGAUGGCGCAAAAGUAACUGUCUUAGACUCGAGACGUAAAGAUCCCGAUUAUUAUGCGGAUAUGACUGCAGUGCUCAAGAAGUAAGUUCAGUCAAUACCAGGACCAUAUCGGCAUGCAACUUUCGUUAAUUUCCUAAUAUCAAGUAAUCAUUUUCUUUGCGUGGCAGGUUUUGGAAGAAGUUCACCAAAAAGGUUCCCGGUCUAAACAAAGAGUUGCAAUUUAUGCACCCCAAAGUAAGUAGUACUAGAUAGUUCCGCGCAUCUCUAAUUGAUUCAAAUUUUCAUCAAUAUAUCAUUACCAUGCUUGCUUAUCAGCUUGAUUGAACUUUAUUCUCGUAAAGUGCUUGUACUAGGUAGGUGGGAUUGAAUUAUGAGCAUACUACAUAUGCGAGUUCACUCGCCUCUCGACCUUUGAACGGGCGGGCUUAUCUGAGAAACAAUAUCAAGUACGUAAAUAAUAUUCACAAUUUUAUUUUAUAUAUUACCAUCAAUUGUGUUGAGUUUUAUUCAUAUACAUGCAUGUAUUGACCCCCUUCUUUAAAUUAGAUGUGGCAGAUGCGGGAUGAAUCCCUAACACAUGAUCGCAUCCGAGCAAUUCAAGAGGAAUUGGCGGGAUUCUUUCUUGACCACACCAUACCUAAAUACGGAGAAUACUAUGUGGAUUAUUUGUAAUUGUAUCUUAGGUAGAUGAUGUUAGGGAUUGUAAAACAUGUUAUAUUGUAAAAGAUGUUAGGGAUUCUAAAUGGUUUCCUUCAUUUUUUUAUUAGUUAGCGUCAAGUUCUCUCUAUAUGCAUAGUAGCUAGCAUCGACCAAGCAUAGAGAAAGAGAGGACACUUCUCUCUAUUAGCAAGCUAACACAAUAUGAAACCACUAAAUUAACCAUCCAAAAAACCCCAACCCCCAUUAAAAAAACCCACCUCCGGCCAGAUGCUGACGCGUGGAUGCCAUUUGGUCCUGGUUGAUGUGACCAACCGGGACAAAAGGCCCUCCUGCCUGGGCUCCCCGCAGCGGCCACGUGGAGACCCUUCUGUCCCGGUUGGUAAGCGAACCAGGACUAAAGGUUUUGGGCUUUAGUUCCGACCCUUUAGUCCCGGUUCCAGAACCGGGUCUAAUGGGCCUCUGGAAACGGGACAAAUUUCUACUAGCGAGUCUAAGUUGUAUUUUCAAAUUUAUGUUGUAGAUCAAUGGCUCGCGCAGCAGCACCCUGAAUUUCAAUGUGUUCUUAGAGAAAUCCAAGCUGAAAAAUGAUGGAAGUAACUUUGUAGACUGGUUCCAUAAUCCGAGGUUUAUCCUCACGGCUCCCCAAAAGGAUUUUGUCCUUGAUGCACCGCUUGGUGCGCCACCCCCUCGAGAGUCGUUUGUAGACAUUGUGAAUGCUUGGCACACGCCUUCUAAUGACUACUCAAUAGUUCAAUGUGCUGUGUUGUAUGGCUUAGAACCGGGACUUCAAAGACGUUUUGAACGUCAUGGAGCAUAUGAGAUGUUCCACGAGCUGAAGUUUAUUUUUAAAAAGAAUGCCCGGAUCGAGAGGUAUGAGACUUCUGAUAAGUUCUAUGCUUGGAAGAUGGAGGAGACGGGUGUGUCAGUGAGCACAUACUCAUAAUGUAUGGGUAUUCCAAUCGUCUGGCUGAGUUGGGAAUUGCUCUCUCGCCAGAAGCUAUCACUGAGAGAGUUCUUCAAUCACUCCCACCUAGCUACAACAGCUUUGUGUUGAACUAUAACAUGCAAGGGAUGAAUAAAUCUGUCGCCGAGAUGUUUGCGACGCUGAAAGUCGCUCAGUCGGAUAUCAAGUAGGAGAAUCAAGUGUUGAUGGUCAAUAAAACUACUAGUUUCAUGAAGAAUGGCAAGGGCAAGAAGGGUAACUCCAAGAAGAGUGGAAAUGUAGUUGCUCCUCCCCUCGAAGAAACCCAAGGCUGGACCCAAGCCAGAAACUGAGUGCUUUCAUUGCAAGGGAACUGGCCAGUGGAAGCAGAAUUGCCCCAAGUAUCUGGGUGACAAGAAGGCGGCCAACACCAAACAAGGUAUAUGUGAUAUACAUGCUAUUGAUGUGUACCUUACCAACUCUCGUUGUAGUACCUGGAUAUUUGAUAUCGGUUUGGUUGCUCACAUUUGCAACUCAAAGCACGAACCACGGAAUAGAUGGAGGCUGGCAAAGGACAAAGUGACGAUGCAUGUGGGAAAUGGUUCCAAGGUUGAUGUGAUCGUCCUCGGCAUGCUCGCUCUUCGAUUACCAUCGGGAUUAGUGGUGAACCUGAAUAAUUGUUAUUUAGUGCCUACGUUGAGCAUGAACAUUAUAUCUUGAUCUUGUUUAAUGCGAGACGGUUACUCAUUUAAAUCAGAGAAUAAUGGUUGUUCUAUUUAUAUGGGUAAUAUCUUUUAUGGUCAUGCACCCAAUGUGAGGUUUUUUUUAUUGAAUCUCGACAGUGAUGAUACACAUGUUCAUAAAUUGAUGCCAAAAGAUGUAGAGUUGAUAAUGACAGUACCACUUUCUUAUGGCACUGCCACUGAGGUCAUAUUGGUGUAAAAGGAAUGAAGAAGAUCCAUGUUGAUGGAAUUUUGGAGUCACUUGAUUUUGAAUCACUUGACACAUGUGAACCAUGCCUCAUGGGCAAGAUGACUAAGACCCCGUUCUCCGGAACAAUGGAACGGGCAAGUGACUUGUUGGAAAUCAUACAUACUAAUGUGUGCGGUCCGAUGAGCAUUGAGGCACGAGGUGGAUAUUAUUACUUUCCCACCUUCACCAAUGACUUAAGUAGAUAUGGGUAUAUUUACUUAAUGAAACACAAGUCUGAAACGUUUGAAAAGUUCAAGCAAUUUUAGAGUGAAGUUGAGAAUCAUCAUAACAAGAAGAUACAAUUCCUGUGAUCUGGUCGAGGAGGAGAAUAUCUGAGUCAUGAGUUUGAAAAUCACUUAAUACAAUGUGUAAUUGUUUCACAGUUAACGCCACAUGGAACACCAGCGUAAUGGUGUGUCCAAACGUCAUAAUCGAACCUUAUUGGAUAAGGUGCGUUCUAUAAUGUCUCUUGCCGAUUUGCCAUUAUCAUUUAGGGGUUAUCCAUUAGAGAUAGCUGCAUUCACUUUAAAUAGGGCGGCAUCUAAAAUCUGUUGACACGACACCAUAUGAAUUGUGGUUUGGCAAGAAACCAAAGUUGUCGUUUCAUAAAGUUUGGGGAUGUGAUGCUUAUGUCAAAAGGCUUCAGGCAGAAAAUCUCGAACGCAAAGCGGACAAAUGUGUCUUCAUAGGAUACCCAAAAUUGACAGUUGGGUAUACCUUCUAUCUCAGAUCCGAAGGCAAAGUGUUUCUCGCUAAGAACAAGUCAUUUAUCGAGAAAGAGUUUCGCUCGACAGAAUUGAGUGGGAGGAAGAUAGAACUUGAUGAGGUUGUUGAACCUUUACUUCAACCAGAGAGUGGCGCAACGAAAAAUAUGUUUUUGUGGAGCCUACAUUAGUUGAAGAGGAAGCUGAUGAUGGUGAGCAUGAAGCUUCAGAUCAAGUUACUAUAGAACCUCGUAGGUCGGCUGAUACGUCUCCAACGUAUCUAUAAUUUUUGAUGGUUUCAUGCUAUUAUCUUGUCAAACUUUGGAUGUUUUGCAUGACUUUUAUAUAUUUUUUGGGACUAACUUAUUAACUCAGUGCCACGUGCCAGUUCCUGUUUUUCCAUGUUUUUGACCCCUUUGAGAGGAGAUUUUGAAACGGAGUCCAAACGGAAUAAAAUCCCCGAAAAGAAUUUUUCUAUAACGGAAGAAGAUCACGAGACUUGAGAGCCUAGGCAGGGGAGCCCCAGGGGCCCCAAAAGCCCCCACCCCACGGCCAGGGGGGAGGCCGCGACCCACAGGCUUGUGGGCCCCCUCGGUGCCCUUUGCCCUAGGUUUUGCACCUAUAUAUCCCCAAAAAUUCCAGAAAAAAUCAGGAGAUCAUUGAAAGUAUUUUUCCGCCGCCGCAAGUUUCUGUCUCCGCAAGAUCCCAUCUGGGGAACGUUCUGGUGCCCUGCCGGAGGGGGGAUUCGGAUACGGAGGGCUUCUUCAUCAACACCAUGACCUCUCCGAUGAUGCGUGAGUAGUUCACCAUAGACCUACGGGUCCAUAGCUAGUAACUAGAUGGCUUCUUCUCUCUUUUGGAUCUUCAAUACAAAGUUCUCCAUGAUCUUCAUGGAUAUCUAUCCGAUGUAAUCUUAUUUUGCGGUGUGUUUGUCGAGAUCCGAUGAAUUGUGGAUUUAUGAUCAGAUUAUCUAUGAAUCUUAUUUGAGUUUCUUCUGAUCUCUCUUAUGCAUGAUUUCAUAUCCUUGUAAUUCUCUUCGAGUUGUGGGUUUUGUUUGGCCAACUAGAUCUAUGAUUCUUGCAAUGGGAGAAGUGCUUGGUUUUGGGUUCAUACCGUGCGGUGACCUCACCCAAUGACAGAAGGGGUAGCGAGGCAUGCAUCGUGUUGUUGCCAUCAAGGGUAAAAAAUGGGGUUUUCAUCAUUGGUUUGAGAUUAUCCCUCUACAUCAUGUCAUCUUGCUUAAGGCGUUACUCUGUUCGUCAUGAACUCAAUACACUAGAUGCAUGUUGGCUAACGGUCGAUGUUUGGAGUAAUAGUAGUAGAUGUAGAAAGUAUCGGUCUACUUGUCUUGGAAGUGAUGCCUAUAUGUAUGAUCAUUGCCUUAGAUAUCGUCAUGACUUUGCGCGGUUCUAUCAAUUGCUCGAUAGUAAUUUGUUCACCCACCGUGGUAUUUGCUAUUUUGAGAGAAGCCUCUAGUGAACACUAUGGCCCGCGGGUCUACUCCACACCAUAUUUUCAGCCUUACAAUUUUUACUUCGUUGCACUUUCCGCCUUCAUAUCUCACUUUGCAAACAAUCUUGAAGGGAUUGACAACCCCUUUGAAGCGUUGGGUGCAAGCUCGUUUGUGUUUGCGGAGGUACUCUGGACUUGACGAGACCCUCCUUCUGGAUCGAUACCUUGGUCCUCAAAGUGAGGGAAAUACUUACUACUCCUGUGCUGCAUCACCCUUUCCUCUUCAAGGGAAAAACCAACGCAAACAAGAGAACUAGCAAGAAGAAUUCCUGGCGUUGUCGGGGAAGGAUUUUGUUGCCGUAGCAUCGGCAAGGAAACGUACUGCUCCUGAAUGGUAUGGUAACCCUGUCUUAGAAGUCAUGUUGUUGGACAACGAUGAACCUACAAGCUAUGGAGAAGCGACGAUGGCCAGGAUUCCGACAAAUGGUUAGAGGCCACGAAAUCUGAGAUAUGAUCCAUGUUUGAAAACAAAGUGUGGAAUUUGGAAGUAUUACCUGAAGGGUGAAUGGCCAUUCAGAAUAAGUGGAUCUUUAAGAAGAAGGCAUACGCGUACGGUAAUGUCACCGUCUAUAAAGCUCGACUUGUGGGAAAAGGUUUUUCACAAGUUAAGGGAGUUGACUACGAUGUGACUUUCUCACCCGUAACGAUGCUUAAGUCCGUCAGAAUCAUGUUGGAAAUAGCUGCAUUUUUUGAUUAUGAAAUUUUGCAGAUGGAUGUCAAAACAGCGAUCCUUAAUGGUUUCCUUAAGUAAGAGUUUAUAUGAUGCAACCAGAAGGUUUUGUUGAUCCAGAGAAUGGUGACAAAGUAUGCAAGCUCCAGCGAUCCAUUUAUGGACUAGUGCAAGCAUCUCAGAGUUGGAAUCAUCGCUUUGAAGAGGUGAUCAAAGCGUUCGGGUUUAUACAAGUUUACGGAAAAGCUUGUAUUUACAAGAAAGUGAGUGGGAGCUCUAUAGCGUUUCUGAUAUUAUAUGUGGAUGACAUAUUGAUGAUUUGAAACAAUAUAUUUUUUUUGGAAAGCAUGAAGGAAUAUUUGAACAAGAGUUUUUCAAUGAAGGACAUAUGAAAAGCUGCUUUAAUAUUAGGCAUCAAGAUCUAUAGAGAUAGAUCAAGACGAUUAGUAGAACUUUCAUAGAGCACAUACCUUAAUGAAGUUUUUAAGAAGUUCAAAAUGGGUCAAUCCAAGAAAGGGUUCUUACCUGUAUUGCAAGGUGUGAAGUUGAGUAAGACUCAAUGCCAAGUGACUACAGAGGGUAGAGAAAAGAUGAGUGUCGUUCCCUAUGCUUCUGCCAUAGGCUCUAUCAUGUAUGCAAUGUUUUGCACAAGACCAGAUGUUAGCCGGAAGGUUUCAAAGUGGUCCAGGAGUGGAACACUGGAUGGCGGUCAAGAAUAUCUUUAAAUACCAGAAAAGGACUAUGGAAAUGUUUCUCAUUUAUGGAGGUGGACAAGAGCUCGUUGUAAAGAGAUAUGUCGGUGCAAGCUUUGACACUGAUACGGAUGACUCUAAGUCUCAAACCGGGUACAUAUAUAUUCUCAAUGGGGGAGAAACUAAGCUGGUGCAGUUCCAAGCAAAGCGUGGUACCUGAUUCUAUAUGUGAAGCGGACUACAUUGCUGCUUCGGAGGUAGAAAAGGAAGGUUUAUGGAUGAAGCGGUUCAUGACAGAUCUUGGAGUUGUGCCCACUGCACUGGACCCAAUGACUUUGUUCUGUGACAACACUGGUGCCAUUGCUCUGGCGAGGGAACCAAGGUUUCACAAGAGGACCAGACACAUAAAGCGAUGCUUCAAUUCUAUCCGCAAUUACAUCAAGGAGGAGGACAUUAGUAUUUGCAAAGUACACACAUAUCUGAAUGUCGCACACCCUUUGACUAAGCCUAUUCCAUGAGGAAGACAUGAUGAACACCAGAACUUUAUGGGUGUUAGAUUCAUUACAAGGUAAAUCACAUAAUGAUGUGAACUAGAUUAUUGACUCAAGUGCAAGUAAUAGACUGUUGGAAAUAUGACCUAGAGGCAAUAAUAAAUUGGUUAUUAUCAUAGUUCCUUGUUCAUGAUCACCAUUUAUUAUCCAUGAUAGAAUUUUAUUGAUCGGAAACUCAGAUACAUGUGUGGGUAUAUAGACAAACACUGUGUCCCUAGUGAGCCUCUAAUUGAUGAGCUCGUUGAUCAAAGAUGGUCAAGUUUUCCUCACCAUAUACAUGAGUUGUCAUUUGAUAAAAGGAUCACAUAAUUAGGAGAAUGAUGUGAUGGACAAGACCCAAACUAUGAACGUAGCAUAUGAUCGUGUGAGCUUAUUGCUAUUGUUUUCUGCAUGUCAAGUAUCUGUUCCUAUGACCAUGAGAUCAUGCAACUCACUGGCACCGGAGGAGUACCUUGCAUGUAUCAAACGUCGCAACGUAACUGGGUGACUAUGAAGAUGCUCUACAUGUAUCUCCGAGGGUGUCUGCUGAGUUGGCACGGAUCGAGACUGGGAUUUGUUACUCCGUGUGACGGACAGGUAUCUCAGGGCUCACUCGGUAAUGCAACAUCAUAUGAGCUUGCAAGCAAAUUGACUAAUGUGUUAGCCACAUGAUCUUGUAUUAUGGAACGAGUAAAGAGACUUUUCGGUAGUGAGGUUGAACUAGGUAUGGAGAUACCGACGAUCGAAUCUCAACCAAGUAACAUACCGAUUAACAAAGCGAACUGCAUACAGGAUUAACUCGAUCUUUGACAUCGUGGUUCGACCGAUAAAAUCUUCAUGAAUAUGUAGGAACCAAUAUGGCAUCGAGGUCCCAUUAUUGGUUAUUAGCCGUAGAGGUGUUUAGGUCAUGUCUGCAUAGUUCUCGAAUCCACGAUAUAAGUAUAGUCGAGUUGUUAUGUUGGUGACCGAAGGUUGUUCCGAGUCUCGGAUGAGAUCCCGGAACGACGAGGAACUCUAGAAUGUUCUAGAGGUCAAGAUUGAUAUAUAGGAUGAAGGGCAUCUGAGUCCGAAAGUGUUUCGGGGCAUAUCGAUGAGUCGACGGAGUAUCGAAAGUGGUUUCGGGAGGCCCCGACAAGUGUUGGGGGCCCUCAUGCGCCAAGGAGAUGGACGCACUAGCCCACAAGGGGUUGUGCACCGCCCAAAUCCCAUUCCACUCGGCUAGGAGGGGGGGGGGGUAGACCCCCCAGGGCCACCGACCACCCCAUCUUGGGAGGCAAGGCACCAUUGGGGGGCACCCAAACCCUAGCCGCCCCCUUGGCCGCCGCCCCUAGGGGAAACCCUAGGGCACCCUCCCCUCCUCCCUUCCUCCUAUAUAUAGUGAGGGAGAGAGAGAGAGGGCAGCCACACCACAAUGUGCCACGACACUGGUCCUCCUCUCCCUCGUAUUUCUUCUCCUCGCCAUAUCAUGCGGUGAAGCCCUACUGAGCUAUCACCACCACCACCUCACCACGCAGUCGUGUUGCCGGACGACUCGGUCUACUACUUCACUUUCGACCGUUGACCGAUGAGGUGAAGGCGUUAUCAAGCUGUACGUGUGGUGAACCCGGAGGUGCCGUCCUUUCGGCACUUGAUCGGGAGUUCACGGGACGGAUCGUAAUUGGAUCACGAAGUCGUUCUGUAAUGCCCAAGAUGCGGUCCUAUACUUAUUUUGGCGCGAGGUCCUUGACAGGGAUAGAAAAGCAUCUCGUUGUUUCGAAAGAAUGGAUAUCAUUGCAAGUACAUGUACUGAAAAGAUGAGUAUAAGGAGUUGGCUUACACUCGCCACAAGCUACAUCAGAGUCACAUCAGUACAAUACAUACAAUCAUCAUGAAGAAGAGCAGGGUCCGACUACGGACGGAAACAAACGAUAAAAGAACGACAUCCAUCCUUGAUAUCACAGGCUGCCGGCCUGGAACCCAUCCUAGAUCGAAGAAGAAGAAGAAACUACAAAUGAACAAUCAACGCGCUCACGUCAAGUAUCUCUUUACCUGUACUUGCGACUAGUGUUGUAGUAAUAUGUGAGCCACACGGACUCAACAAUCUCAUUUCCAAAUGUGUCAAGACUAGCAAAGCUUAAUGGGUGAGGCAUGGUUAAGUGGUGAGGCUGCAACACGCGAUUAAGCAUUUAUUUGAGGUGGCUAACUUACGAGUACAAGAUUAAAAGAAUGGGAAGAUCUAAGCAUAACAGACGUGAACUGCUGAUGAUCAAAUGAAUGAUCCUGAACUCCUACUUACGUCAGACAUAACCCCACUGUGUGCUCGAUCACAGAAGGAGCUCACGAAAGAGACAGUUACAGUUACACACUUACUUGGCAUAUUUUAAUUAAGUUUACUUAAAGUUAUCUAGAACUGGAUGUUAAACAAAGUUUCCACGUUGCCACAUAACAGCGUGCAAGACUUUUCGAAAGAUUUAUCCCUGCAGGGGUGCUACAUCUAGUCCAUCACAAACUAACACACGCUGCGACGGAAUGACCUCGAUCGGGGAAACCCGUGAUCUCCUCAGGUUCCUAUUGAAAAAUCUCAACCUCGAGAUAACCCAAAGUAUCCUGGGAAUCCCUUGCACAAGACGCCCGACGUGUCGACGAACCCGAUAGGAGCCGCACAUUUCGUUCUCAGGACACGACCAGAUGGGACUAGCUACGAGUAAAACCAAAUCUCGAGUUUCCUCGCGAUGGCCCUACAGGCAGCCCAUUUGGUACCAACACCAUUGCUAUCCCACACACAACAGCGCUAGAAAUUGACACGUUGACAGAGGCUGGGCUUGCGUUGGUUUUUCCCUUGAAGAGGAAAGGGUGAUGCAGCACAGGAGCAUUAAGUAUUUCCCUCAGUUAGAGAACCAAGGUAUCGAUCCAGAAGGAGGGUCUCCUCAAGUCCAGAGUACAUGCGCAAACACAAACAAGCUUGCACCCAACGCUUCAAAGGGGUUGUCAAUCCCUUCAAGAUUGUUUGCAAAGUGAGAUUUGAAGGCGGAAAGUGCAACAAAGUAAAAAGUGUAAGGCUGAAAAUAUGGUGUGGAGUAGACCCUGGGGGCCAUAGUGUUCACUAGAGGCUUCUCUCAAAAUAGCAAGUAUCACGGUGGAUGAACAAAUUACUGUCGAGCAAUUGAUACAACCGCGCAAAGUCAUGACGAUAUCUAAGGCAAUGAUCAUACAUAUAGGCAUAACGUCCGAGACAAGUAGAUCGAUACUUUCUGCAUCUACUACUAUUACUCCACACAUGGACCGCUAUCCAGCAUGCAUCUAGUGUAUUGAGUUCAUGACGAACAGAGUAACGCUUUAAGCAAGAUGAUAUGAUGUAGAGGGAUAAUCUCAAACCAAUGAUGAAAACCCCAUCUUUUUACCCUUGAUGGAAACAACACGAUACAUGCCUCGCUACCCCUUCUGUCACUGGGUGAGGUCACCGCAUGGUAUGAACCCAAAACCAAGCACUUCUCCCAUUGCAAGAAUCAUAGAUCUAGUUGGCCAAACAAAACCCACAACUCGAAGAGAAUUACAAGGAUAUGAAAUCAUGCAUAAGAGAGAUCAGAAGAAACUCAAAUAAGAUUCAUAGAUAAUCUGAUCAUAAAUCCACAAUUCAUCGGAUCUCGACAAACACACCGCAAAAGAAGAUUACAUCGGAUACAUCUCCAUGAAGAUCAUGGAGAACUUUGUAUUGAAGAUCCAAGAGAGAGAAGAAGCCAUCUAGUUACUAGCUAUGGACCCGUAGGUCUAUCGUGAACUACUCAUGCAUCAUCAGAGAGGUCAUGGUGUUGAUGGAGAAGCCCUCCGUGUCCGAAUCCCCCCUUCGACACGGCACCAGGACGUGCCCCAGAUGGCAUCUUGCAGAGACAGAAGCUUGCGGCGGCGGAAAAGUGAUUACGAUGGUCUUCUGAUUUUUUUUCUAGAAUUUAUGGGAUUAUAUAGGCGAAAGUCCUAGGGCAAAGGGCGUCCAGGGGGCCCACAAGCCUGGAUGGCGCAGCCCCCCUGGCCGCGGGGUGGGGGCUUGUGGGGCCCUUGGGGCUCCUUUGCCUUGGCUCCCAAGUUCCCCGGUCUUCUUCCGUUCAAAAAAAAAUCAUUUCGGGGAUUUUCUUCCGUUUGGACUCCGUUUCAAAAUCUCCUUUGAAAGGGGUCAAAAAUAUGGAAAAAACAGGAACUGACACUUGGCACUGAGUUAAUAAGUUAGUCCCAAAAAAUAUAUAAAAGGCAUGCAAAACAUCCAAAGUUUGACAAAAUAAUAACAUGAAACCAUCAAAAAUUAUAGAUACGUUGGAGACGUAUCAAGCAUCCCCAAGCUUAACUCCUGCUCGUCCUCGAGUAGGGAAGUGAUAAAGAAUGAAUUUUUAUGUGGAAUGCUACCUAGCAUAGUUGACCUUUGCAACUUCUUUCACGUGACAUGAAUGUUCAGAUCCGUAAGAUUCAAAACAAUAGUUUGCUAUUGACAUGAAAACAGUAAUACUUCAAGCAAACUAGCAAAGUAAUCAUGAACUUUCAAAAUAACAAGGCCAAAGAAAGUUAUCCCUACAAAAUCAUAUAGUUUGGCUAUGCUCUAUCAUCCUCACACAACUAAUGUAAAUCAUGCACAACCCCGGAAUUGGCCAAGUAAUUUUUUUCACACUCUUACUUCCUCAAACGUUUUAUAACUAUCACGCAAUACAUGAGCAUGAGCCAUGGAUAUAGCACUAUAGGUGGAAUAGAGUGUGGUGGUGGUUGUGAGACAAAAAAGAGGAGAUGGUCACACUAACUCGGCGUAUCAAUAGGCUAUGGAGAUGCCCAUUAAUAGAUAUCAAUGUGAAUGAGUAGGGAUUGCCAUACAAGAGAUGCAGUAGAGCUAUAAGUAUGUGAAAGCUCAAAAGGAAAACUAGUGGCUGUGCAUCCAACUUGCUUGCUCACGAAGACCUAGGGCAAUUUUGAGG